rnacentral:lncRNA from 1 species
GUGUAUACAAAUGAAACCCAUGGAUCGGCCUACAAUGAAGAAUGUUGUGGAGAUGCUUGAAGGAGAUUUGGAAAACUUGCAAUUGCCUCCUAGGCCUGUCUUCAAUCUUGAUGUGACGCCACCAAACAUUGAAGGAGAGUCAUCAUCGUUGUCAGGUGAUUAUACCGAAUCAACCAGUUUGGUUGAAAAUGCAUACUGAGUGAUAUGAUGUUGAAUGCUCUGCUUACAUGCAGGGAAAAUGAUAGAAUAAUAGCGCUUUCGGACGUGGUUAUGAUCGUUUAGUCUGCAAACAUUAUGAUAAUUUGCAGUCCUUGCUUUUAUCUGAUUUGUGUUUAGCUAAUUUAGAGUUCAAGCUGCGGCUUGUUUCUUCGGUGUGGUCUAUAUAAUAAUCAUACAAAGAUGUUCUGUAUUGUGUUUAACAAUCAGAUUACUGUUACAAAAGUAUGAAGUAUAAAGUAUUAUCCUUAUUCUGUUAUUUAGGCUGACUAGCAGCCCCUUCCCCUUAUACUAAUAUUAUUUAACUCAAGACUUUUUAAAUUCUCUAGAUUGUCAUCAAUUAGGGUUGUUGAUGGUGGUUGAUUGUUGAACUGCUGAGAAAAAAAAACUAAGAGAGGCUAGGGUAAAUGCUGUAUGUGGCAAGUGGUUAGUGUUGAGAGAGACAAAGAACAUUUAUCUUUACACUAACACUCAUCUCUCCGGAACACAAAAGGGACUUGCCUCUUUAUUUGGAGGACGCUAAAGAACAUUGAGAGAACCCUUAUUUUUACACUACACACAACGUGCAAAACACCUCUUUCAUCUUCUUCAUCUUUUUACCUACUUAUUUAUUUAGAAAUCAAACUAAAAAAACUAACUUGAGCAUUAAUAGAGGACUUCCAAAAUGAAAUAGUUGGGGACUAGAUAAUUGGCUUGCAAUUAUUUAAACAUUGCUAAUGCUUUUUUUAGUUACAUUUUAAACUAUGUGAGGUUGACUUGAGAUGAGCUGAUCUACUUGAUAGGUCUAAAAACAACUUAGACGGUUAAUAAAAAUAUAAUUUAACUCAAAAUAAAUAUUCAAGAUGAUUUAUUAAGAUAUCGAUAUAUUGGAUUGGUUUUGGUCAAUUUAAAUUAACAUGUUUAUCUGGUCAUGAGACCAUAAUAACUUCAUAGAAAGAAAAUCAAAACAAAUUAUGAAGUGUAAGUUCCAAUAAAUUCAAUGUUAAAUAAUAAAAUUAAAAAUUAAAUGAAUAAUAAAAAAAAAAAUUGAAAAAUUCAUCGGGGAGGAUGCGCUUUCUCUAAAAAAAAGAAUGAAUUUCAAACAGAUCAAAAGAAUGCGCUUUCUGUCAAGAAGUAUAAAACAUAUUGAAAUUUUAUCUCUACAAUAAUAGAACUUGAUGCAAGAGGAAGGAAAUGACAGGAGUAAAGCAAGAUGAGAAAGCGAAAUGAAGUCUCUCAACCCCUAUUUAUAUAGGAGGCCAAUGGGUGCGAAAUUAAUUUGAAUUAAUUCCUAACAAUUCAUUGUAAUCGCAGAAUCAAUGAAUUUGAAAAGAUUUAAUGAAACUAAUCAAACAUUAAAGAAAUAAUUUAAUAGAUAUAAUAAAAAUAGUUGUAUCAAUUUUUUAUUCGUCCAUGAUUGAUUUUAAACAUGUUAACAUUCAAGAUAUACAAAGAUGUAAAUAAAUUGAUUGAUCACUAAAUUAGUACAAGUAGAUUUUGGUUUUGGACAUUUUAUAAUAAAAUAAUAUCAAAUUUAUUUGGCUAAUUAAUGAUUUCAAUGUUUUAAACUAAUCCACUUUUCAUCUAUGUCAUAAUUUAAUUUUUGAUUUUUAUCUUUAUAAAAUAAAAAAAAUGAAGUGGGAAAAUUGGAAUGAAUGAAGAAAAAUUAAGAUUUAGAUCAAAACAAUACAAAUGAGAAGUUUUUGAGUAUCAAUCAGGGAGGAAUUGUAAAUUUGGGGUUUAAUUUUGCUUGAAAUUGAAAGAAUUGAUGAGUUUGAAGACUUAAUUAAGCUUAAAAUUAGUUUAAUUAACAAAAUCAUUAGCUUAAUUGAAGAAAUAUUAAAAAUAACUGAUUUAGGUCUAAAUUGCAAGAAAUAAAGUCCAAGGACCGUUGUGCAAAAGGCACCGCAAUGCAGGGGUCUACUUAAAAUUUAGCCCAGGGGUCCGUUUGAAACAUGUUAAAACCUCGAGGACUAAAUUGAAAAAUGGCCGCCCCAAUCUAGAAACGGCGCUGUUUUUCAAUUCCAUUCAUCGUCUUCUUCCUCUGGAAGCAGAGGAGACCCCCUGCAAAGGAAAAUAUCAAUCGCCGCACACAUGCCAAAUUCAAGACCGCGUUGUCUACCCACGGAACCCAUGGCAUUUGGUUGGUCUCCCUCACCCUCAUAACUCUCCCCUGACGCGAGGAUAAGCACCACCAAGAAUCCAGCAACGGCAGGACUGUUGGUGUUUCCAUUCUACCCAAACACGGAGCCAAUUCACUCUACACAAGAUGACGAUCCCAGGGAAUAUAAGGAUAAGAAUCCCUCUCAAGGUCUGACUCUAUAAAAGUGGGAGAGAAGGAAGAACAGGGGAUCGAAAAAGAGAGACGAUACAGAGAUAAAAACCAAAAAAUAAAAUAAAAAGAAUAGAGAGCAGAAGGGAGGAGAGGACUAGGUCUUGAGAAAGCAAAAACAUAAAGACAAAAAAGAGAAGCCGGGGAAAAGAAAGGGCGUCCGAGGAGUGCUUCAUCCAGCACCUGCAUUUUGCCGCUCAAGGUCGCUGCAAAAACAGGCAAGUCACUUUCAAUUCUCCCUCUCUCUGCAAUUUAAUUACUCUGAUUCUCUCUGCAAUUUAGUCACUUUGAAUUCUCUGAACAGUUCACGCACGCAUGCAAGUAAAAAAAAAGAGAGGAAAGAAAAGGGAGCCGGGUUACUGAUUUAGCUACGUCUGGCAUAGCCUGUACGGCUGGGUCUGAUCCCAGACCUAAUCAGUCCAAACUUUUUUUGCUAAGGGUAUAUUUGAUAAAAUAGACUCUCAUGCCUUGUUCAUGUAUUUUCAUUCCCCUUUUAUUUUGAGAGGCAUAGAAAAUUUAUUUCUUCUUAUUAAAAAUUUAAAAUUUUGUGAAUUUAUUUAGUGAUAUCAAAGACAGGAAUAUUAUAUUUUUUUGGAUUGUAUAAUAUUUAUAAAUAUCAGAGUUGAAAAUAUUCGUAGUUACUAUUUAUUGACGGUAGAGUCAGGAACAUAAUAUGAAAAAUUAAAAAAAAAAACAAAUUUUUAUCAAUUUUAAACAAAGCUAGCAAUACAACCUGUAUUAGGUAUAACGUUCAAGGAAUGAUAGUAUCUUUUAUUUGACAUAACCAAUUUCCUAUCAUAGAAUUUUUAUUGAUUAGUUAGAGUUUUUAAUAAUCAUAAUACUUAGUGGUAAUUAUUUAAACAUAGAUUUUUUUCUUUAAAAAAUAAGAUGCCAUAUACAUGUUUUUUUCAUUGAAAAUUUUUAUUGAUGGACGGCAAAAGUCAAGAGUGACAAUAUAAAUCAAAACAAUAUAAUACUUACAUAGUUACCUUUCUGUAAAAAGUAUUGAAUAUUAAUAUUAAUUUUUUUUAAUCAUGUUUCGAAGGCAAGUGUGCAAGCUUUACAUGUGAUAGCAAUCUCAAUGACUUCACUGCUACAUGCCUUCAUUAUCCUUGUAUUUGUUUUAGGUAAUAGAGGCAGUCGGCCUCUCCAUCAAUCUCUCUGUAUUUAUUGUAUCAGAUAAGAUAUUCCUGUUUUAGGAAUUUGUUUCUGUCAGAUUAUAUGUAUUAUUUUUGAAUUCCUUGUAACUUGAUAUCGAUGAAUGAAUGAAAGAAGAAUGUGGCCUUUACUCGAUCUAUUCUUCGUCCUGUUCUCAUCACAUGGUAUCAAAGCAAUUAAAUUUGCUGCUGCUGUUCUUCUCUAGGCACAACAACCAUGACAACAGACAACAACACUCUGCUUCCCUUCAUCAUCCAGAUUAUAGUCAAAAUGAUCAACUUCCUCCUCGUCUCUAUCUUGGCCACUGCCAAAUUUGUAGGAUUUAGGGACAUAACUAAAACCAAGAAGUGUCCAUCAUUUCGUUUUGUUUCAGUGCAGACACCCACCACCACAAAUGCUCCAAUGAUCACCUCUCCAACACCAUGGCAUCCUAGCUCGGGCACACUUCGCUGUCAACACCUCUUCUAUCACUCCAACGUUGCUGCUGGAAAAUGGUGCUUCUGAUCAUGUCAUUGCCGACUUAAGCAUUUUAUCAUUUCAUGCGUCCUACGAUGGUUUUGACGAAAUCAUGAUCGAUGAUUUUGUUGGGUUAUUUCCAGAACUCAAACACGCACAAUUUACGUGGUUCGGCAACUUGCCUACUCCACGGAGUUACUGGUUGUAUUAAUCAAGCUUACAAAGAAACAAUACAACAACAAGAGGAGGAGAAUCUUCUCAACUCAACUCUACACUCAAGCUCUCUCUCUGUGUUUCUCUCUUUCUCUUCUUCUCACUGUGUUCUUCGUGCUCUCUCAGUUCUUCACAUACACACACACACACACACACAGCUAUACAUAUACAAAUAAUGGGAGUGGGGGGUGUCCUCCACCAUGUGCUAAGUGGGAGAUUAUUCCCACUAGCACAUGGUGGGGCAAUUGUUGUCUCCAUAAUGCUAACAAUCUCCCACUUGGAGACAAACAAUGAAAUCCUUUUUUAUCCUUGAAGGCCAACUGAAGUUUUGCACAACUUCAGUUUCUCAAGUGUAACUCCUUUGGUUAACAUGUCAGCUGGAUUCUUGCUUCCACAGAUCUUUUCUAGCAUUAGUUGCUCGUCGUCCAGCAGUUGUCGGAUGAAGUGAUAUUUGAUCUGAAUAUGCUUCGUCCUGGAGUGAAAUGCUGGAUUCUUGGCAAGGAAGAUUGCACUCUGACUGUCGCUAUACAAAGUACCUUUUCCAUUCAACUUGCCCAAUUCUUUCAAGAAACUCUGCAACCAUACUAUCUCUUUUGCAAAUUCUGAGACUGCAACAUAUUCAGCUUCUGUUGUUGAAAGAGCAACGAUCUUUUGCAAGGUAGAACUCCAGGAAACAGCAGUACCUCCUAGAGUAUAAACAUAUCCUGUAGUGCUCUUUCUGCUAUCAACAUCUCCUGCUAGAUCAGCAUCUACAAAACCUUCAAGUUUCAAACCACCAGCUGUGAAACUGAGACAAGUUUCCGAUGAACCUUUUAAGUACCUCAUGAUCCAUUUCACCGCCUCCCAAUGCUGCUUUCCAGGAUUGCUCAUAUAUCGGCUUACAACUCCCACUGCAUGGGCAAUGUCUGGUCUGGUACAGACCAUAGCAUACAUCAAAGAGCCGAUAGCUGAGGCGUAUGGAAUCUUAUCCAUGUAUCCACUUUCUAGCUCAGUUUUUGGUGACUGAUCUUUGCUGAGCUUGAAAUGAUUCCCCAGUGGUGUACUUACUGGUUUAGCAUUAUCCAUACUAAACCUGCUGAGAACCUUCUUGACAUACUCUGUUUGUGAGAGCUUUAGUAUGCCUUUGUCUUUAUCUCUGAUGAUUCUCAUGCCAAGUAUUUGUUUAGCAGCUCCCAGAUCCUUCAUUUCAAACUGUUUCGACAACUGCUGUUUCAGCUUAUCAAUCUCCUCAAUGCUGGAUCCUGCAAUCAACAUAUCAUCUACAUAUAAUAGUAGAAUGAUGUAGGAGUUGUCAAAAUGUUUGACAUAGCAACAAUGAUCAGCUUGGCAUCUUGUAUACCCGGAACUGCACAUGAAGUUGUCAAACUUCUUGUACCACUGUCUUGGAGCUUGCUUCAAACCGUAUAGGCUUUUCUGUAGCUUGCAGACUUGAUUCUCCUUUCCUUGCAUUGCAAACCCCUCUGGCUGUUGCAUGUAAAUAUCUUCCUCCAAGUCACCAUGAAGGAAUGCUGUUUUUACAUCUAACUGUUCAAGAUGUAAAUUUUCUGCAGCUACUAUCCCCAGAACAACUCUGAUUGUUGUGAGCUUCACAACUGGAGAAAAAAUCUCAGAGUAGUCAAUGCCUUUCUUCUGUUGAAACCCUUUGACAACAAGUCUUGCCUUGAACCGUUUGCUUCCGUCAUGCUCAGUCUUCACUCUGUAAACCCACUUAUUUUGCAAGGCCUUCUUUCCUUCAGGUAAUGUUGUUAGCUCCCAAGUCUUGUUCUUCAACAACGAACUCAUCUCAUCCUUCAUGGCUAACUCCCACUUGCUUGAGUUUCCAUCUUGUAAGGAUUCUUCAUAAGAUAACGGUUCACCACCAUCUGUCAGCAAAAUAUAAUUCAGUAAAAGUGUGAACCGUUGCGGGGGCUUUAUCGUCCUCGAAGACCUGCGAACAGCUGGUUCAAGUUGCUCCGCAUCUUCUUGUGUGGAAGUGGGCACAGAUGUGCUUGAAUCUUCUUGUAAAGACUCUUGAUUGUUGUUCUGCUUAGUAACAUCGGGAAGCCCUUCUAAUCUUAUGAAUUCAGAUCUUUGUGGACUUGUAUCUGAAUCAGCCAUCUCUGUUUCUCCACUUGAUCUGUCUUUGUACAUAACUUUCUCAUUGAAGAUCACGUUCCUGCUUCUGAUAAUCUUUCUAUUCUGAUCAUCCCAGAACCGAAAUCCAAAUUCUUCAUCUCCAUAGCCAAUGAAGAAACAUUUCUUGGAUUUGGCAUCUAACUUGUUGCGAGCAUCAGAAUCUAUGUGAACAUAGGAAACACACCCAAAGACCUUCAAAUGAGAGAGUCGUACCUCUUUUCCUCUCCAUACUUCCUCGGGCAAUCUGAAUUCCAAAGGAACUGAUGGUCCACGGUUGAUCAAGUAAACUGCGGUAUGAACUGCGUCAGCCCAGAAUGUUUGAGGUAACCCUGAAUGCAACCUCAUGCUUCUAGCUCGUUCAUUGAUGGUCCUGUUCAUCCGUUCAGCAACGCCAUUCUGUUGCGGUGUGCCUGGAACGGUCUUUUCCAUUCUGAUACCAUUGACAGCACAAUACUCCUUGAAACCUCCAUCAAUGUAUUCUCCUCCAUUAUCAGAUCUCAAGCAUUUCAACUUUAGACCUGAUUCAGUCUCAACCAUAGCCUUCCAUUUCUUGAAUGUUUCAAACACAUCAGAUUUAUUUUUCAGAAAGUAACCCAUACCUUCCUGCUGAAGUCAUCAAUGAAAGUCACAUAAUACCGAGAACCUCCAAGAGAUGCUACUGGAGACGGUCCCCAUAAAUCUGUGUGUACCAGUUCUAGCUUUCUUGGUCUUAAGGUCCUGCCAACCUUCAAGAAACUGACCUUCUUCUGUUUUCCAAGAACACAGCUUUCACAAAUGUCUAGAUCGACAUUUUUUAACUCUGGCAGCUUUCCCUUCGACUGAAGUAUCUUCAUCCCCUUUUGACUCAUAUGGCCAAGUCUACAAUGCCAUAGCUGUGCUUGAUUUUCUGCUUCAGUUGAGGCAAUGAUGUCUGCAAAUCUUGUGGUCAUAUACAGGGUGCCGGUUUUCUUUCCACGAGCUAAAACCAUUGCUCCCUUUGAUACUUUCCACAUUCCUCCAGCAAAAAGUAUUGAAUGACCACUAUCAUCAAGUUGUCCGACAGAGAUCAACUUCUUCUUUAAUUCAGGAACAUGCCUUACAUUCUGCAAGGUCCAUAUAGAUCCAUUCAUUGUCUUGAUUUGCACAUCUCCUAUACCCACAAUAUUCAGUGGUGUUCCAUCGGCCAGAUAGACUACACCAUGAUCUCCUCCAACAUAAUUUUGCAGCAUUUCAUUGUGUGGCGUACAGUGGAAUGAAGCACCAGAAUCAAGAAUCCACUCAUCAAUUUGACUUUGUACAGCAAGAAUUAAAGCAUCUUGUACCUCAUCUGUGGUAGCGUUUGCAGAGUCAGCUUCAGGUUUCUUCGGUUUUGUGCAAUUCCUACUGAAAUGACCAGGUUUGCCACAAUUCCAACAUUCAACCUGCUUUCUGGAUCCAAACUUGCUUUUACUUCUGUAUCUGGAUUUUGAUCUGCCUCUGGAUGAGCCUCUAUCGUGUCUCCUCCCUCGAGUGUUGAUGUUGAGAGCUGAUCCUGAGCUUGAACUUUCACCCGAGUCUUUCCUUCGCACUUCUUCAGCCAAAAUCAAGUCUCGAAUGUCAUCAUACUUCAGUUUGGAUUUUCCAGCUGAAUUGCUCACGGCUGUCCUCAUGCCUUCCCAACUGCUUGGAAGUGAAGCUAGCAAGAUGAGUGCACGAAUCUCAUCAUCAAACUCAAUCGCAACAGAUGAUAAUUGAUUUGUGAUGGUAUUAAAGUUGUUGAGGUGUUGUGUCACAGAAGUUUUCGACCAUCUUCAAGUUGAACAACUUUUUCAUCAGGUGCACUUUAUUAUUUGCUGAUGGCUUCUCAUACAUCCCAGACAAGGCUUCCAUCAAUUUUGCAGUGGAUUUUUCUUUCGUAACAUUGUGAGCAACUCUUCUUGAUAACGAUAGCCGGAUAAUGCCCAGAACUUGUCUAUCAAGAAGUUGCCAUUCUUCUUCUUCCAUCUUUUCUGGUUUGCUUCCCAAUAAGGGAAGAUGAAGUUUCUUCCCAUAUAAAUAAUCUUCAAUUUGCAUUUUCCAGUAUCCAAAAUCUGUUCCGUCAAAUUUUUCAAUUCCAGCAGCCUUUAUUUCAUCUGCCAUUUUUACUUCUCCGAUUCGAAUUUCCCAAAUCUGACCUUACAGAUGUGUCCAGAACGGCCAAAAACCUUGGAAAUGACACUGAGAUCACCCCAAUCGGACUUCGGAUGGCUCAGAUUUUAGCAAUCAAAGUUUUGGAUUAACGGACGGUGCAGAUGCAGCCGCGUGUCAGCCAGAGUACCGCCUGCGUCACACCGGAUAAAAACUCAGUAGCGGUUCUGAUGAAGACACGUGUCAGCAGAUUACAGCCUGCGUCGCACCGGAUCAAAACUCAGUAACGGUGCAGAUUAAGCCACGUGUCCGCAGAUUAGAGCCUGCGUCACACCUGAUCAAACUCAGUAACGGUGCAGAUUCAGCCACGUGUCACAAGAUUAGAGCCUGAGUCGCACCGGAUCAAAACUCAGAAGCGGUCUAGAUUCAGCCACGUGUCAGCUGAUUAGCUCCUGCGUCGCACCAGAUUAAAACCCCUCAACGGUGAUGAUGUAGCCACGUGUCACACGAUUACCGUUUGCGGUGCACUGGAUCAAAACCCAGGUGGAUGACAUGUCAGGUGACGUGGACGUUGACCGUGCGACUUGCUGACGUGGCGGGUCAGACCCGACCCGUUUUGCAGAAACCGGGCGAAGAAGAAGCGUGGCGCGCGUGCGGCGCGUUGGUGCGCGUGGGCAGUGCUAGCGUCGGCGCGUGCGGGCAUGCAGGACGUCGAUUCUUCGCCGGGGUUUCAACAGUGGAUUCGUCCGGUUGUCCUCUACACGAUGGUAUGUUCAAAAACACAUUUUGAGAACUUUGAUUUUUGAGUUUGGAUCAAACACCCUCUUUGUCAAGAACAAGCUCUGAUACCAGUUGUUGGGUUAUUUCCAGAACUCAAACACGCACAAUUUACGUGGUUCGGCAACUUGCCUACUCCACGGAGCUACUGGUUGUAUUAAUCAAGCUUACAAAGAAACAAUACAACAACAAGAGGAGGAGAAUCUUCUCAACUCAACUCUACACUCAAGCUCUCUCUCUGUGUUUCUCUCUUUCUCUUCUUCUCACUGUGUUCUUCGUGCUCUCUGUGUUCUUCAUACAUAACACAGCACACACACACACAACUAUACAUAUACAAAUAAUGGGAGUGGGGGGUGUCCUCCACCAUGUGCUAAGUGGGAGAUUAUUCCCACUAGCACAUGGUGGGGCAAUUGUUGUCUCCAUAAUGCUAACAGAUUUCACCUUUCUUACAACUCACACUGAUUCCACCUUUCUUACAACUCCUAAGAACAUUUAAACACUGUACCAAACAUGAAGAAAAAUUUAAUAAUUUUACUUAUCAAAUAAUGCAUUCAUUGAAUUCUUACCCUUUUCCUUUCUUACGAAGGAAGUUCGUACAAGGGAGAUUCUUUUGAAGGGCAAAAUGAAGGAUGGGAUGCAUGAAUGGUAUGUUGAAAAAGAAGAGUAGGCUGUGGUAGUUAAUUUAUAAGAACAUAGCUAAAGAAUAAAGUUAAAAAACAAGAAGAAUAAUGAGAUGAAUGAUAUUUUAUUAAGAGUUUUCUUAAAAUAUAUAUAUUUUUAGCUUUUUUUUAUAUCUCUAUAUAAUGCUUAAGAUUACAUGACUUAUUAUAGACCUCAAGUUCUAUAUAAUAAUAAAAAUUAAACUAUUUUAAAAAAAAUUCUAAUCUAAUAAGAAAUUUAAUAUUCUAAUUAAAUACAGAUUCUAAUACACUAAUCUAUUACAAAUCUACAAAUCCUUUUUAAAUCGAGGGUUCUAAAUUGAAAUGGUUUAUUUUUUUGGUGGAAACUUUUGGUGAAUGUAUUGUUUGUUUUGGAUGAUCUUGUUGUCUAGAUUGAGUUUCCUGGUAGAGAACAGAAGGGGUUUCUUGCUGAUGUAAUGGCACUUGCAUUUAUCUAAAGUCAUAUGCACUCAUAUGCACAGGCCCUUCAAAGACUAAAGUUGAGUUUUCAGAGCUUCAGGUUCAGGACAAGUCAUAUGCACUCAUUGCACAGGCCCUUCAAAGACAGGCUAGGAAGUUCAAGACUAUAGUAGCCGUGGUGGAUGCUAGUGGCUUAGCAGGUAUUAGGAAACAUUGGAACACUCCUGUUCCUCCAGAAGUGAAGGAUUUGGUUGGGAAGCUUGUCACUGAUUGUGAAAGUGACGGAGAAGUUCCCAAUCAUGAUGAAAAGAGACGGCUACUUUCAAACAAACCUAUGGUGGCAGUUGGAGCUGGGGCAACAGCAAUUUUUGGAGCUUCGUCUCUUUCCAAAGUUGUUCAUGCAUCGACAUUCAUGAAGGUUGUUACAUUUAAAUUUCCUACUGCCCUUAAGCUUUUGCUGAUCCAAACUCAAAAGAUAAUGGCAAUAUCUAUGGGCAAGACUCUUGGUCCAACAAAACUGCUGGCCCCUGGACUGGCCAAUUCUGGAGCCAUGCAACAUCUGCGUUGAAAGCAGCUGUUUCUGCUGAGAAAAUCCGGACAGUGGUCCACAGUGUUAUAGCCUCUGCUGAGAAAACCAGUUUUUCAACUAUGAGAACAGCUUUCUAUGAAAUAAUGAGAAAACGGCAGGUUCAACCUAUUGGUGUCCUACCUUGGGCAGCAUUUGGUUGCAGUGUUGCAACUUGCUCAGCAUUGCUCAUGUAUGGAGAUGGGAUUGAAUGUGCUGUUGAGUCUCUUCCUGCAGCCCCGUCAAUCGCCAGUUUGGGUCGUGGGAUUCAAAGCUUGCACCAGGCAUCUCAAGUAGUUGGGCAGACAGAUGGCACCAGAAUACAAAAAUCUAUAGUCUUUGAUGAACAGGUUGAGGAAAGUAAAGAUGCAAUAAAGUAGGACUCGCAUCUUUUAUUUUGUUGUAUACAAGCUGAUACUGCUCAAAAGUUAUUAGUACUGGAAUUUAGAGAAAUCUUCUGUAUAUAAAUAGAAAGCAGGAGGGGUGAUUUGUAUUGUCAUGGGUGUUGAUCUUUUUUUGAAGUCAAUUUUCUAAAGGGUUCUUUACAAUGCUGCCUGGUAAACAUAUUACAAUUGUUUCCUCUCCCUGCUUCCCUCUCCCUUUAUCUCUAUGUUUAACUCCAUUUGACAAUUUCGCAUAGGUAUUACUUGAGAUUGCAUUGUUAAUUCUGACGCAGUCGAGAUUGGCUUUCUUUGCUCUCAAGCAAGGCUGCCAUUGUUAUGAAUAGCAGGCUGCUUGCCAGAAGCUCUUCUCCGGUUUCACAGUCCUUGAUUCGAUCUACUCUCCAUUACUAAAUUGUUUGUGUAAUUUAAAUCAUAACUGAAAGUUUUCGAAUCCUAUGAUGAAGCCAAGCACAUUAACUAUAAACCAAAAGAGGAGAUGGUUUUAGUGCAUCCCUCCUCACACAUCACUAUUUAUUAGAAUAUUAUUUUUGUUUUGUUUUUUAUUUCUUUGAUUUCUUUUUCAACUCCUCACACAUCACUAUUUAUUAGAAUAUUAUUUUAUUUUAUUUUAUUUUUAUUUCUUUUUCAAUUAUUUUUUUAUCCUUUAGUUUUUUUUUUUUUGCUAUUGUUUUUUUUCUUUUUUUUACAUGUUUUUUUUUCUUUUCUUUUUUCGCUGUUGUUUCUUCUUCUGUUUUUUUUUUACAUGUUUUUUUUCUUUUUUUUUUACCCAAAAUUGACUUUUUCUUCUUCUUUUUUUUUCAAAAUUAUCUUUGCUAAUUUUUUAAAAUAUUGAGCUGGUUGAAAAUUUAACUAUAUAGUUUUUUAAAAAAAACAUUGUGGAUUGCUAUAAUAUUCUCAUACAUUGUUUUUUUUUCUUUUUUAUGAUUUUUUUUAAAUGAUCUUUGUAGAUUUUAUUUUUUUUAUAUUAAGUUGGUUGAGAAUUUAGCUUUGUAGUUUUUUUUGUUAUUUUUUAAAAAACAAUAUGGAUUGCUACAGUGUUUCCCCUACAUAGUUUUUGUUUUGCUGCAGUGUUUUCCAACAUAUAUUUUUUAAAAAGUUAUCUUUAUUGAAUUUAUUUUUUCAAUAUUGAGCUGCUUGAUAAUCUAGCUUUAGCUUUUCCCACAUGUUUUUUUAUUUGUUUUUCUUUUUUUUCCAAAAUUGUCAUUUUUUACAUAUUUUCUUCUUCUUUUUUUCAAAAUUAUUUUUGUUGAUUUUUUUUCUUACUAUUGAGCUGGUUGAAAAUUUAGUUUUUUUGUUUUUUCUUAAAAUAUUGUAUCUUUCUCCACGUGUUUUUUUUUCUGCUUUUGUUUCCUUUUUUUUACAUGUUUUUUUUUCAUUUCUUUUACCCAAAAUUGACAUUUUUUUUUUAAAAUAGUCUUUGUCGGUUUUUUUUAUAUAUUGAGCUAGUUGAGAACUUAACUUUGUAGCUUUUUUUUUUUUUAAAAAAAAAAACACUAUGACAUUAAUGUUCACAAUAUCAGUGCUGGUACUAGCAGUUUGAUGGGGUUAUCUUGAUCUUAUGACCCGGGUUGCAAGUUUGACAUGUUAACUCAGGUUAUUUUUUUAAUUAUUUUUUUUCAAUUUCAUCCUUCAAUUUUGGGUUGAUUGAGAAUUAAAUUCAUAAUUUAUUUUGAUUUGUUUUCUAUAAGGUUAUCAUAAUCUCAUAACUCAGGUCAUGAAUUUGACUUGUUAAGCUGGAUUGUCCCAAGUCAAUCUAAUAUGUUGUUAUUUUAAUAUUAAAAAAGAUAUUAUCUUGAAAUUUUGUUUAGUCAAAUAUUAUUUUUACAGGUUAUAUGGGUUGUUUUUGAAUCAAUAAAGUUAACCGGGUUGAAUCAAUAAAGUUAACCGGGUUAUAUCAAGAAAAUUCUGACUUUGUCAGAAUUUAAUUUUUUUCAUGCUAGAAAAAAAAUAUUAACAUUUAAAUAUUUGUUUUAUAUUCAAGAAAAAUUUGACUUUGUCCAUAACGUAACACAAUUAAAGUUUAUUACUAGUUAUUUUGGGAGGCUAGAAAAUUCUGCUAGAUGUGCAGACUAUUUCCUUAAUAUUAAUUAUUGAUGACAAAUAUAACUUUAUGUCCAGUUAUAAGCUGCUAGAAUUUGAACUGCCUUGGUUUAUAAUUUUUUUUUUUUGUGGAGAUGUGAAAGUAUGAAUCCUCACCAGUUGAGUGACAAACUACUGUUUAUUGGGAGAAAUGAUUCUUGAACUUUUCUUGGCCAUCUGGCAGCCUAUGAUAGAUUUCCUAAAAUUUAUUUAUGCGGCCUUCUAUCUUAAAGAAUUUGACAAGAAACGAUCGGUAGAAAUUUAUAAAAAAUUUACUUUUUAAAAUUUGAUUUAUAGUUAAAUAGAUGUUAUUAAACUUGGCUGGAUACAUCAACUUAGAAUCUAGUUAAAUUCAUCCAUUUAUAAAAAAAUCUACUUCUCAUCUAAAACUUGGCUUAAACCUGAUUAAAAAAAUUAGGUAAAAAUUAAUCUAGUUAAAUAAGAGAUCCGGUAAAUUAACUUGCAAUCCAAUCAUCUUAGUUAAAAUUUAAUUUGAUUAUUAAAGUUGUUUUCCUUAAAGCAAUGACAUUUUUUUUUUAAAUUGUGAAAUAAUUCACCCGAGUAAACUUUGUUUUUCUUAAAGCAAAAACAUUUUUUUUAAAUAGUGAAAUAAUUCACCAGAGUAAACUUUGAUUUAAACUUGAAAAUCUUGAAAUAAUUAAUUUGAAGUUAAUUAUUAGUACUCUCAUCCAAUUCUCAAUUAUAAUCAUGACACAUGUAAUUGUUUUUAUUGUUUAAGGGCUAAUUAUUUUUAUGUUUUAAAAAUAUUUUAAAAAAAUAAUUUUUUUAAAUUUUUUUGUUUCAAAUUAAUUGGUAUUUGAUAAUUUCAUAUUGUUUUAAUGUGUUGAUGUCAAAAAUAAAUUUUAAAAAAUAAAAAAUAUUAUUUCGAUACAACACAGUUAUCAUAUUCUAAAACAUACAAAGUAUUUUGUCAAAAAACUUCACAUGAAAUCAAGACAACACACAAGCAAUUCAUUCUAUCAAUCUGGAAUUGCAUUACAAAAACGUGAAAAAAUAAAAUAAAAUUCUGGAGUUAACUCAGAAUCUAGUAUUAUAAGUAAUUAAUUAUACAUGCAUCAGCUAGCGUUAAUUUGAUUCCAAUCACACCUUAGAAUCCAACCUCCGUGCUUCUUUUCGUGCGAGAUGGAUAAGAAACAGUUCACUUCGAGAUCAAGCACAUAUGCUUCAGCUAGACAGUACCCAUGAGUUGCCAUGGCCUGAAAACAUGUUCCAGGUGUCUUUGUUGAGAGACCAGUGGAAAUGAACUAGGGUUGAUGAUGAGCUGAGAGGCUCUGUUUAGGUCAUUUUAUAAGGGUCUGUUGGCUUGGGGAGGAAGGACGUCGUGUGAUGUUUAGUGGUCCAAAUGGAACUUGAAAGUGAAGUAUUUGUAAUUUUUUAGUGGACAAUGUCAUGGCAGCGUAGAAACUUUGUGGAAAUGGACAAUUAAAAAAACAGGGGAUGUAAGAAACCCUUGUUUUUAGUUAUUAGUGAUUAUGUGUGCAACAUCCGGAAUUUUGCAUUGAAAGAAAGGAAGAAAUUAUGUAGAGGAAACACACCCUUGGACUUGUAAAUGUUAUACAUACUUAAUACAUGAACUCCUAACCAGUUACCGAAGGUAACCUCAACUUAUAAUUACUCUGUUUAGAGAAAGCUGCCAACUCUUGUUGAAGCCAUUGCAUGCAUUCUGAUGAACUUGGACUGGGCUUUCCACUAUUGCAAUCUUGGGCUACAAGCUCUGGGAUGCUUCUAACAGAGACACAAUAAUGGGAGAAAUGAGUGUGUAGCUCUUGAAGACAAAAUGUCAAAUCUUUCAUUUGGUAAGGGUGAUCGAUGUUUGUUCUUUGAAGAUCAUGCAGUUAUUGAUCCUGUCUUGCAUCUUAAACUCUUUUGACGAGGAGCUUGCGUGCGAGAUUCAGAGGAAGAUUGAUGAAGAUGGACCGGGCUUUCCACGAUUGCAAUCUUGGGCUUCUUCUAGGUUUGUAAUUCCAUUGUAAUCGUUCAAGUUGGCCAUGACAAAGACACAAUCAUUGAAGAAAUAAGUGUGUAGCACUGGAAGAUUGAAUGAAGAAUCUUUCAUUUUGUAGGGGUGAUCGUAGUUUUAUUUAUUGAUCGGGUCUUGCAUCUUGAUGUCGGCAAAUGCUUUUUUUGUUUUUCCGACCUAUAUAGCAAUAAAAUUUGAAAUCACCGACAAAAAAAAAACUGACGGACAUAUUCUAUCAGUAAAUAAUUUACCGAUGAACUCUUAAUCAUACACCGAUAGAAUAUUUUCAUCGGUAAAACUCCGAAAUCUUGUAGUGUGAAUAUGACUUGCUAAGGAAUGUUGUUUAUAACGAGAGAGACUCCUUCAGAGAGUUGGAGAAUGAGUUUUCUCAUGUCUGCUAGCUUGCACGUUGUUUUAUCCUGUUUCUUAAAGGAACUGAAGUUGUUUUUGUACACAUAAUAGAGCUAGAUGUUAUGUUUUUCAUAAAGAGAGUGAAAAAGUUCGAAGCUAUUGUUAUAUUGAUACAACACCAUUGUUGAGCACUUUCACCUGAUAUAUGAUUUACUGGAGAUUUUGAGCAGUUGGAAUAUUGAGAGAUUUGUUAUUAUUUCAUGUUCUGAAGUUUCAAAUCGUUAUCCAUUAAAAGAAUUUUUGGUUACUCUUACUAGCUUUCCACUAAUAAAGUCAAGAAAACUUCAUGGUUGAAUUAAGCUUUUUGAGACUUCAAUCUUGGAUCGGUGGAGUGAUAAGCUUUGUGAGGGCGAGCCCGUUUAUAGGAUUUGUACAUAUGUUUUGUUAACCCAGGUACUUUCAAUUUUAAUAUAUAUAUAUAUAUAUAUAUAUAUAUAUAUAUAUAUAUAAAAGUUACAUUUAAUUUAUGAAAUUAUUAUUUUAUAUUUAUAGUAAUGUUAGAUCUUAACUUGUAUUGGUGUAAAUAUUUUAUAUGACAUAUGAUUGGUUAAUUAUUGAUUUUAUUCUUAAACAUAUUUGGAUAAAUGAUUUAAUAACUAAAUAAAUCUUAAUUUAAUUAUAUUAUCUUCUUAGCCAUAAGUUUUUUUUUUUAUGAUAUAUAUAUAUAUAUAUAUAUAUAUAUAUAUAUAUAGACACACACACAUUUAUCAUUUUUGAUAGGUGUAGAAGUUGCUAUUUUAAAUUAUUUAAAAUAAAAAUUUUAAUACUCAUAUAAAAUAAUUAUAUUAUCAUUUUUCCUUAAAAAGAUCUAAAAAAGAUAUGAGCUUUGGUAGAAUUUUUGUUUUGGUAGGAUUUUAGGUUUUGGGGCGUUUUAUUGGGUUUUUGGUGGCCAUGGAUUGACUUAACAAGGUCUCUAGGGUCUUUUCUAGGUGUCUUGGAUAAAAUAUAAGUUGAAAAUUGAUUUUUGGGUAAAAAAAAUAAAAGACCUUGUUUUCCCGGCCAUCAUAAUAGCUGAAUUCUAGGUUGCGCAAACGACGCAUCAUUGUUUCGAGGCAAUAUAAUUUUUUUUUUAAAUAAAGACCUGCGCAUUAGCCGUUGCUUUAUUGGGUCAGAUGUUAGGUGUGGCUUGCCUGGCCCAACAGUGCCUGGCCUGAUUUUUUUUUUUUUAAUUUUUAGUUUUGUGUGUAAUUAAUCAAAUAAAUAUUAGGUUUAUGUUUUAAUUAGAUUGUGAUUAAUUUUAAAUGAUAUUGAUUAUGUUUAAUUUUUAAAGAGGUAAGUAUGAUUCAUUUGUGAUUUUUUUCUUAAUUUUAUAUAGAUUAAAUUUGUUUUUUUAAUAAGAAUUUUUAUAUGUGCAGCCUUACAUUGUUUUUUUUAAUUAUUAUUCAAAAAUUUUUAUGUGAGUGUUAGUUUCUAUUACAAAUUUAGUUUGAUAGAGGGGUUCAUUAAACACAAUCAUGUAAAUUACCCAUAUUGUAAUUUUAACACUCAUUAUUUUUAUUGUAGUUUCUUGAUUUUUUAUUUUUGUGUUGUUUUUCCUGUGAUUUUAACCCUCAUAUUUUUUCUAUGUAUAAUGCUUUUUUCCUAUAACCUAGUUCAUUGUUUAAAAAGUUAACAUGAAUUGACUUUUUUUGUCUUAUUUUUUUUAUAUUUAUUUAUUUUUCUUUUUAUAUAAUUAUUUUAUUCUCUUUUAAUUUUUAUUUUAUUAACAAAUAAGAUUAUUGAGAUGUUUUGAAAAUAUUAUGAAGAUAUAGUUAUAUAAUAUUGACAAACGUUCGCAUUGAAUUAUUUUUUUUUUCUUAUUUUAUUUGUUGUCAACAUCAUUAAAUUAACUAAUUUUAUUAAAUUUAUUAGAGCAAAUUACCUAUAUAUUAUUUUUAAAAAAAUAAUUUUUAAUAUUUUUAUAGUAAUUGGUACUUGUGGCUGGACCCGCCUAACUAGUCUUAGCUGUAAACAUAUCAUGUUAUGCCAUCCAUGUCACAAACUCAUUUAAAGCUUGACGCAUUGGUCAAUUAUUUUAUAUUUCAGUGUUUUGUGACAUUAACAAUGAAGUUAUUGAUUGAAGCAUUGGUCCACACUCUUAGUGUCUUUCAUGGCGAAGACCCCCCCCCCCCCUCCAUGUGCACUCAGGUCAAUGAUGAACAAUUGUAGGGUUCUUGGUUAUUACGCAAUAUUUUUUUUGGGCGCCAAACCUGACCUUUGAAGAUGUCAUUGACAGUGCCGCCCCAUCUUUUAUUUUUUUGUUUUUUUAUUGUGUGGGUGGCGCAAUAAUUUAAUAUAUGUUUAUUUUUAUAUUUCAAAAAUAUUUUUUAAAAAUUUAAAAAUUAAUAUAUUUUUAGUGUUUUUAAAUUAUUUUGAUAUGUUAGUAUUAAAAAUAAUUUUUAAAAAAUAAUAAAAAAUUAUUAAUAUAUAUUUUGACACGAAAAAUUAUUUGUAAAACAAUCACACUACUAAAUAAUAUCAAAUAAUUGUUGGAUUGUAGAGGAUUGUUCUCAUAAUUUUUUUUAUAUUUGUUUUUAUUUCAGUUUUUAUUCUAUUAAUUUUUUAUUUUUUUAUUUGAUACUUUUAUUUAAAAUUUUAAUCGCUUUCAAUAAAGCUUGUCGGUGGUAAGACACACUCCGAAGCAACCUGUGGUUCCACGACAAAAAUAUGAGCUCUUUCUUUUCCGUGGUCCACCACCUUUAAUUUCUUUCAUGGCAAGACUUUUGCCCCCAUGAGUAAGCAGGUCAAUGACGAAGAAUUGUAGGGUUCUUGGUUAUUUCUCCCUGCAAUUCCUUCACAAUUAUGUGAUAUAUUGAUUUUUUUCGCAUUUGAAAUGAGUUAGAGUAUUAGAUGUUAAAUAAUAUUUAUAUAGUUUUAUUUAAUAAAAAUAAAAUAAUACUUUCAGUUUGAAUCUAUAUAUAUUUUAUUUAUAUUUAGGUUAGGAUUAUACACUCAUAAUAUAUAAAUUAUUCAAAAUUUUAGUAUUUUUUAUAUAUUUGAUUUUAAUUAUUUUAACACUAAAUUACUUAAAUAUGAUGAAUAAAGGGUUGGAUUUGUAAAAUUAUUUACACAUUUUAAUUUGUCGAUCGUCAUUUUCUGCUGUAUCAUCGACGUUCUUCCUUCCUCCAACCAUUUCGAACACUAAUAUCCCAAAGCUGUAAACAUCUGAUUUAUAGGAAACACUCCCGAAGUUCCUCGAGAACACUUCUGGGGCAAUGUAGCCAACAGUCCCCCUAGCAGUCGUCAUGGAAAUGGCACUUUUAUCCUUGGAACACAACUUACCAUCCCAAAAUCGGCGAUUUUGGGAUUGAAUUCGUUGUCAAGCAGGAUAUUCUGUGGUUUGAUAUCAAAAUGGAGGAUUCUUUGAUCACACCCCUGGUGAAGAUAUUCAAUCCCCUUGGCUAUGCCUAUAGCAAUUAUUCUUUAUAUAUAUAUAUAUAUAUAUAGAGUAAUUGACUUUUUUUUUUCAUUUUUUUUCUUUCUAUACAAUUAUUAUAUUUUUUUUAAUUUUUAUUUUACUAACAAAUAAGAUCAAUGAGAUAUUUUAAAAAUAUUAUAAAGAUAUUGUUUUAUAAUAUUGACAAACAUUUAUUUUUUAUAUUGAAUCAUUAUUUUUUUCUCAUUUUAUUUAUUAUAAAAAUAAAAUAUACUUCCAUAAUAUUUAUAAUUAUUCUAUUCUCAUUAAUCAUGGUAAAAAUAAUUGGCCCGUGGCGCGACAUCCUAACUAGUCUUAUCUAUAAACAUAUCAUGUUAUGCCACAUACUCAUUACACAUUGGUCAAUUAUUUUAUACUGAUUGGAACGUUAAAGAGCCGGUCAAUUAUUUUAUAUUUCAGUGUUUUGUGACAUUAGCAAUGAAGUUACUGAUUGAAACAUUAUUCGUAAUUUAUUUUUGUGUUUUAAAAAUAUUUUUAAAAUUUUAAAAUUUAUUUAAUUUUUUAAAAAAUUAAUAUAUAUUUUUAAUAUUUUUAGAUUAUUUUAAUACAUUAAUAUCAAAAAUAAUUUUUAAAAAAUAAUAUAUAUAUAUAUAUAUAUUUUUAAAUAAAAAUAUUUUAAUAAAUAACUAUAAUUAUACUUUCAAACAAAUUCAGUUGCUUUCCUGACGAAGACAUUUCCCCGUGCGCACUCAAGUUAAUAAUGAUGAAGAAUUGUAGGGCUCUGGGUUAUUACGCGUUAACGAGUUGUUGGUGUCCCCAACAUUGGAGAUGCCACCAUAUCUUUUUCUUUUUCUCUUUUAAAGCUGUGAGCGUGAUAACAUGUGAUUAUUGAAUUGUCGCUUAUUGUUUCCUUAUUAUUUUUGAUAUUUUAUUUUUAAUUUUUAAUUUUUAAUUUUUAAUUUUUAAUUUUAUUCUUAUAUUUUAUAUCAAAAUUUUAUUUAUUUUUCAAUUAUAAUUUUAUUUAUUUCAGUUUUUAUUCUAUUAAUUUUUAAUUUUUUUAUUUGAUACUUUUAUUUAAAACUUUAAUCGCUUUCAAUAAAGCUUGUCGGUGGUAAAACACACUCCGAAGCAACCUGAGGUUCAACGACAAAAAUAUGAGCUCUUUCUUUUCUGUGGUCCACCACCUUUAAUUUCUUUCAUGGCAAGACUUUUGCCCCCAUGCGCAAGCAGGUCAAUGACGAAGAAUUGUAGGGUUCUUGCUUAUUUCUUCUGGUCCAGAAGUCUCUGCCGUGUAACAAUCUAUGGGUAGAAAUUAAUGGCAAAGGGAAGAGAUGAAAGAAGAAGGUCCAUCAAAAUCCUUCUAUCCUCCCUGCAAUUCCUUCAGAAUUCUAGGACUUGUUUAUUUUUGUAUUUUUAAAAUAUUUUAAAAAAAAUUAAUUUUUUUUAUUUGUUUAAAAUUAAAACACGUCAAUUACAAGAUAUUAAAUAAUCAAAGAAAACAUCCAAGUUUAACAUCAUAAAAUAAUAAUAAAUUAGUUCAUUGUAUAGAGAACAAUAAAUUUGUCUUAAUAAAAAAUUAAAUGAAAUCAAUCGUAUGAAAGUGAAAUAAAACAAUAAGUGAUGCCUAAUCCUUUGAUCUCCCACCAACAAUCUUUUAGCAAUAUUUUGUUGAAAACGUGUACCUCUGAUCUUACAGUUUUGUUCUUAGUUUUAUUGUCUUCAUUUGUAUUCUAUCAUUUGAAUUUUCAGACUAGUAGGUAAACAUAAAUGCAUCUAGCAACAAUUUCUCCAAGUUUUUUUUAUUGAAUCUAUGAAGAGAAUUUCAAGAAGUUAAUUAUAAAUUUAUAUAAACUCUUGUAUUAAAACAAUCAAAUUAUAUUAUAAAAUUAAUUUUGUUAUUAAUACUGUGUUGAAUUCAGAAUUUGUGAUCUAAAUAGUUAAUUUGAUCAUAGUUUGGCGAGUUUUUUUUAUCUUUUUUGAUCUGAAAAAUAUUUAUCUUGAAAUUUUGUUAGAAAAGAAUAUCAUUGCAUUGACAUGGUCUUGAUGAUGACUUACCAAAAUAAUUUUGAAUUGUCGAUGCUCCAUAGAGUGUUUAAGGCACAAGCCACUCUCUCCCAGGGAAGCAAUGAUUUUUAGUCCAAGUUAUCAUGUGCGUGCUUGAAAGUUUUUUUGUCCCGUAAUUGCAGCAAAAUUUGAAUUUUGCACCUAAAACGAUCGAUAGCAAAAACAAUCUGUAAUUUUUCUUGUAAAGAUCUGUAAAGUAAUUAUAAGAUCUGGACUUGGAUUUAGAACUUGAAAAAUCUUCUAAAUGAAUAAUAGAAAAGAAAAGAGAAGAGAAGAAAAGAAAGAAAGCUAAGCUUUACAACUGGAAAAAACAUUAUCAGCACUGGAUAAAUAUGAGAUGUUUAAGUUAAGUUGAUGCUGAAAUUCUGAAAUGUUUAUUUCUAUCACCCUCCCGAUCACUCCUUACAUAAAUAGCAUGACGUCAUAGCUUCACUAUGAGGUAAAGGUUCCAAUACCAAAAUACAAAACAAUCCCUAGAAAUAAUAAAAUCCUAAUUUCAUCCCCGGAAUAAUAGCAUAUGGCUAGAAAUCAUGGAACAUUGUCAACUGUGCUCAGCAAACUUUCAGGAUCUACUUCAAUUUUCUUAAGAGAAGGGGAAAUAGCGAUCGGGAUCCUCGUUAGCUGCGGGCAAUCACGCACAGUAAUUUCUUCGAGAGAAUCGCAUUGAAGUCUUCGAGAACAAAUGCUAUUCAAAUUUGGUAAUUUCUUCAAUACCAAAACCCUCAAUUUAUCAAUGGGAGUGCAUGUCGUCGGAACAGAACGACCCAAAAGAGUAAUGGGCAUGGAGCCACUUCCCAUUAUCUCCUGCAUGUUGUGACAAUCUUCGACUACAAUCACUUUCAAUCGGACUGUAGACAACAACCAAUGAGGGAGCAGCACCUUCAUCCUAUGACAUUUAUGUAUCACCAUCUCUCUGAGUCGGCGAAAGACACCAGCAUUACGUAGCUCUGAAGGUGCUUCAAAAAGGGUUUCUAAGAUUAUCAAACGAUCAAGGUGUAGAAUCUCAAGACCUGCACUUUCAUGUGAUCGAAAUAAGCUUCUCAUGUUUUGACAACUCACAAAAACUGCUUUUGUAGUGAAGUACAAAGAAGUUGCAUUUUCACUCAUGAGGUCAUAAAACCAAGCCUCUUUAAUUAACGUUGACUUCGAUCUUGUAUAAUUUAGAUCUUCGAGUGAAGAGAAAGAAGGUCGUCCUACAGUAACCUUGAAUGCAAUUUCUGAAAAUUUCUCUCCAGAUUGGAAAACUCUGAAAUCGUCUAGAUCACGGAAGUUGCAUUCCAAAGUUUCCAAACCAUAUAAUCUGGAAACUUCAUCUCCUCUAACUGAGAGAACAACUUCAUAUUUCUGAUGAAGCUUGAGGAACUUUAAUUUUAAGAGUUGGGGUAAAAUACCCGACCGUAAAACACGCACCCCGCGCUUCCAUCAAGAUUAAGAUACCUGAGAUCCUCCAGCCUUUCCAUUCCCUCGGGCAAAUCUUCAAGUCCAGUGUAACUGAGAUCCAACUUCUCCAAUGCCUUAAGCUUUGCUAAUGAUGGUACAUAACUCAGCUUUGCACACCAUCCCAGCAACAAUGCAGUGAGACUCGUCAGAUGAGAAAUAGAAUCCGGCAACUUCUCUAUAUCUGUGUCGGAAAGAUCAAGAACCUUGAGUCCGAUAAGGUGUUGGAAAAAAGAAUCCUCAACCAAAUUCAAUUUGUAGUUUCUGCAUAACAAUAAUGUUGAGAGACGGGGGCACAUUGGUGAAAAGCCUUUUGGAAUAUUCUCGAUUCUAUUUUCCAUUAGUGAAACUCUUAACAGUUUCUCUCUCCACCUUCUUACAGCGGGUAAUUCUGUUAGUUGUGCACCUGCUUGAACCAUAGCCCCCCCACUUUCGUUCAAUAUUUUCCAAGCCAUAUCCCAAAUCAAAUCAUGCAUCUUGACAUAUCUGUAAUCUUCAUCGUCCCUGGAACCUUCUAAUAAGCUGGCAUUUUCAAGUUGAUUAAGCAUGGUAUGGCCCCGAUCAAAUUGUGCUUGCCUACUCCACAUAUCUUGGACUAUACCCUCAACAAUCAAAUACUCUAUCAACUCCUCUCUCCUGAUCUUCUUGCCUUUUGGAAACAAUGCACAAUAUAAGAAGCAAUCUUUAAUCGCUUUAUGUUUUAACUGAACAUAGCUAAAUUUCAAUAUCUGAAAUACAUCAGUUUCCGUGUCACAUGUUCCAAUUUCUGAACUUGCCGGUUCCCGCAAUGCAUCUCUCCACUGAGAUACAUCAUCCACUCCCCUCAUGCUUCCAGCCUUGUCAUGAUUCCGAGAGGCAAACCAGAACACUUCUUCACAAUAGACACUGCAGUUUUUUUCAUUUCAGGACUAAGUGUAACACCAUGCCCUAAUCUGUCUAUAAACAAAUCCCAAGCCUCACUCUCAGAAAGAGGCUCCACUUUGAUUAUCCUUUGGCAAUCCAUUUUUCGACAUGUGUCCAAUGAUCUAGUUGUAAGAAUCAGCUUACACCCAUCUGUUUUAAGAGGUAUUCCCACUUUAUCAAGAGGAAAAUGAUUCCACAAAUUAUCAAUAAUUAAAACACAUUUUGUCACACUCAAUGUAGUCCAUAGCUUCCCGGCUCUAUUCACCUCAUCUUUUCCAUUCCCAAGAUGCAAACCAAAAGCUUCGGCAAUGAGAUCCUGCAAUACGUGAACGCUAAAUUCUUGAGGCACAGAAAUCCAACAAACACGAAGGAAAAUGUCUGGUUUCUCUUGAAGCUGAUUGUGGAUAUGUGUAGCCAAAGUUGUCUUUCCAAUUCCCCCCAUCCCGUAAAUGCCAAUGCAUAAGACCUCAUCAUUCAACAACCAAGAGCAGGCACCCUUCAUAUUUCUUUCAAACGCUUGGCCCACCACUAGCUUUGUUGUCGGCAAUACAUAUCUUCCAGUCCUACGUUUCUUUUGUACAGGCCUUCUAGAAGAGGGUCGUCUCUCAACAGCAGACUGCAUCAAUUCCGGACUCAUGGUCAGUCUACCAGUUCUUAACUCAAACUCCCUCAUUGAUGAGGAUGAGAUGUUAUUCAAGUUCAUUUCAAAUGACUGAUGUGCUUGCUCAGUUCUUUGUCUAGUCUCGGGUUCAUCUGGCAUAAGAACGACAGGAGCUCUAGGUUCCUCGACAAGCUCAGUCUCCCCCCCAUUCAGAAAACUCUUCCAUCCUUGUUCAUCCGAAAGAGGUUGUUCUUCUUGUUCCAUUUCAAAGCCCCGCAAAGCAGUUGAAGCUGCAUUAAUUCCCUCGUUAUUGCUUGAACUUGGCACACUCUUAUCUACAGGCAUUUUAGAACAGCUUCCUCUCUCGGUAACAGCCUGCAUCAAUUCCCGACUCCCUAUACCACUGCUUAACUCAACAUCCCUCGUCAAUGAAGAUGUGAUGUUAUUCAUAUCCAUUUCAAAUGGUUGAUCUGCUGUCUCUAUUCCCAAUCCAGUCUCAGGUGCAUCAGGCAUAAGCAUGCCAGGGGCUCUGGUUUCCUCAGUAAGCAAAAUCUCUCCCCCAAUCAAGCUAUCCAUCCAUGACAGUCCAUCAUCCAAAAGAGAUUGUCCUUGUUGCAUUUCUAAAUCUUGCGCAGGAUCUGAAUCUGCAGUAACUAUUAUAUUAUUGUUUGAAGUCGGCAUACUCCCACGCAUUCUGUCAGGAAGCUUAUCAAACGCUGCUCGUUGAACAUCUGGAGUUACUUUUUCACAAAUUUUAACACCACCACCUCCAACUCUUGCUAGAUGAUAUUUCAUCCUUGUACUGGAAGUACUUCCAGCCAAUAUCUUCUUGAAAAGGAGAAGAAGCUAAGUUUAAGAUAAAAAGAAAAAUUAAUUACAGGUGUUUCACUGUCUAAACCAAAGUCAAGUUAAACCACUCCAAAGAUCGUAGUGUUCUUUUCUCUUUACUUCCCCAAUAAUUCUACAACUGGUCAUAUCAGUAAUUUAAUAACCAGUAUGUUUCCUUUUGCUUAGAAGAAUCAAACUACAUGAGUUGGAAAAGAAAUGGUAUGAAAUUAUGCUAAAAUUAAUCAAACUUAAUUACCUGAGCAGCAGAAGCAGCAAAAUGUUAUCCAAUGCUUUGAUUAAAUCAGAAGAAAGAAGAUGGACGGGAAAGUGUGAGUGUGUUGGAGACGAGUGAUAGAGCUUAACGGCUUGCGUGGUUGUGGAUAAGGAUAGAUUCAGACAGUCAGAGAAGCAGAUGACAGUGAAAAAAGUAAAAUGGACUUCUGUCGUUCAUGGAUGUCAUAUGGACAUGUUGUUGGUCUUCCAGGAAGCGGAUCCGGCGAGGGGUGCUCUAGUGAAGGCGGUGGCUGAUGAUAGUCUCCUCGUGUGGUGGACAGCACGCCAGCUUUGCAAACGAUGAGAAAGAGCACGAUCCACCACAAAACAGCAGAAGAGAAAGCAGUAGGCCGAGGGAAGAAAAGGGAGCAGAGUCGACCGAGAGAGAAGUAGAGCUGACCUAGAGAGCGGUAUCUUCACAAAUGGAGAGGUUUGUGUUUUCUGUAGCUGGUAGAAAAAAGACACAGAGGAUGAUAGACAACUGAGAUGGAGAGCACCUGUUUGUUUGCUGGUUUAAAACAAAAAGAACUUAUUUUCUAGAAAAUAAAUUAUUUAUAUAUAUAUAUAUAUAUAUAUAUAUAUAUUCAAGAAAAAUUAUUUAUAAAAUAUUUUUCAAUACUAGGUUAUAUCAUAAAAAAUAGUAAAAAAUAGUUUAUUUAUUUAUAUUUUAAUAAUUUUUUAAGUUGAUUAAAAAAAUAAAAAUUACUAAAAAAAAUAGAAAAUAAAUUUGAUAAAUAAAAAAAAUUAAAAUAAUAAUUUCAUUAAUUAUUUUAAAUAAGAUAAAUAUCAAUUAAAUUAAUAAAAAUCAAAUCUAAUAAAUUAAAAAUUUCAAUUAAAAGAUAACAAUCAAAAGAAAAUAAAGACUAAAUUUAAUAUAAAAAUCGAAUUUUAAAUGAUAAAAUUAAAAAAAUUAAAAUAAAAUAUAUAGAAGCUUAAACAUUAAGGAUCAAAUUUGAUAUAAUUAAUAAAUAACAAGAUAUUUUUUAAAUUUAGUCAACUUUUUAUAUAUUAAUGUCAAAAAUUAAAAAUUAAUACUAAAAAACUAAUAAUUGAUUUAAUAUAUUUCAAAUAAAAAUUAUUUUAAAAAAUACCAUUUAUUUGAAUUCCAAGCACUUUUGUCAUUUUAGGUUUUAUUUCAAUCAUACCUCAACAAUAUUUAUUUACAACGCAUACAAUUAAUUUAGUUAUUUUAAUAUAUUUUAUUAUUUAAUUUAUUGAUAUGAAAAAUAAAUUUUUUAAAAUAAAAAUUUUAAAAAUUAAUUAUUACCUCUAUGUGAAACACCAUUAAUUUUCUCUUCUUUCCGUUGCAUCAUUGGCUUCUACGCCUGCAAAUCUAGGUACCUUUUUUAUAUAUAAAAAAAAAUUCAUUACUUUCUGCUAAAAACAACCAAGUUAGUGACAGUUUAUGCAUGCCUUGAAAUGAGAAUGAAUUUGGCGUGCGUUAGUGAGUGGUUUGUGACAUUGUUAAAACUUCAUAUGUUUAGAGGUUGGUUUCUUGGGGAGAGGUUCAUUCUAAAGAUUGAUUUAGCUUUCUCUUCUCUUCUCUUCUCUCCUGUUUUUUUAUCAGAGUUAUCUUUGCAUAGACAAUGAACUUCGGGUGAGCCCCACAGGUUACAGCCAAGUAAACAACGAGAAUGCAUGCUCCCGCCAGCCUGCAAAAUCUAGCACAAAGCAAUCGUUUGGGUCAUAGUCUAAGGCCUUAGCCCACAGCCAAUCUCGAAAUGGAAUGAUUCUUUUAUUUAUUUUUUGUUUUUUGCAUUUAGGACUCUCAUUUCUUCGUAUGUUUACUUUGUUUAAUUUUCUAAUCAAAGCUAAAGCUCGGUUGACUUGAUCAUGAUGAUCGGAUUCACAGUCUAAAAGUCCUCAUCAAUAUAAAUUAUCAUUUUAAAUUUGUUUUUUUAUAUAUAUUUAUUUUUUUAUAAGAUUUUUCAUAUGUGUAGCCUUGCAUUGUUUUUUUUAAUUAUUAUUCAAUAAAUUUUAUGUGUGUCAAUUUCUAUUAUAAAUAUUAUGUGUUUUUCUAUUACAAAUUUAUUUUGAUAAAAAAGUUCAUUAAACAUAAUUAGAUAAAUUAUCCGUGUUGCGAUGUUAGAUAUCUUGAUCUUCAUUUUUUGCUUGGUUUUCUCAAUUUCAUUUUUGUUUAUUGUUGAUGAAUCUUUUUUUCAUUGCUUUACACAAAUGGUUAUUGAUUUAUUUAAUUAGAUGCGUGCAUAAGCUUUUCGAUUAACAUCUAAGAGUUUUUUUUAGUGUAAAAAAACAUGUUGAAUAAUUUUAUAUAUUCAUUUUUUUAUAUUAUGUUUUGAUGUUUAAGAUUUGAUGCUUAUUCUUAUGAAUUUUUUUUUUAAUAUUUUUUCCCUUGAAUCUUUUAUAAAAGUUUUAUUGUUUUUAGUUUCACCCUUCAAUUCAAGUCUAUAGUGUAUUUUUUUUUAUGUCUUUGUUCUUUUGAUUUUUGUCAUUUUGUUAAUGUUUUUAUUUUUUUCAAUUCAACUCUCAAAUUUAAAAUUUAUUGUUGCCGUUUGAUUUAUUUUUUAUUGCAAUUUUAACACUCAUUAUUUUUAUUGUAUUUUCUUGAUUUUGGAUUUUUUCUGUGAUUUUAACCCUCACACUUUUUUCAUGUAUAGUGCUUUCGAUUUUAUAACCUGGGUCACGGUUUAAAAAGUCAACAAUAAUUGAUUUUUUUAUCUUUUUUUUUUAUUUCUCUUUCUACGCAAUUAUCUUAUUUUCAUUAGUUUUUUUUACUUUAUUAACAAAUAAGAUCAUUGAGAUAUUUUAAGAAUAUUAUGAAGAUAUAGUUCCAUAAUAUUGGCAAACUCAUCUUUUACAUUGAAUCGUUGUUUUUUUUUUUUUCGUUUUAUUUGUUGUCGAUAUUUUAUUUUCUAAUGAUAUUAUUAAAUUAACCGAGUCAAUUGAACUCAUUAGAGCCAAUUACCUUAAGGCUUUAUUGUUCUUCACUUGUGCAACUAGGAUGUUUAUAAUAUGUUUUUUAAGAUUCUAACAGCACCACCAUAAUUUAAAUGCACUUCUAAAUAAAGUACUCAAAUAUAAAAAAAUAUAGAGUUGUUAACUAAUGUUUUAAAUGAAGUAAAAAUACAUGUUUGACCUUAGAAAAUACAAAAACAUAUGGUAUGCAUCCGAGGAUUUUUUUUUUCCUUUCACACAUCUUUUUUGUAAUUAUCAAGGUCAUGGGGAACAUUUAGGUAUUUUUAUAUUGAAUUUUUAAUUUUUUUUUAAAGAAAGUUGUUGCCAUGUGCUCAUUACGGGCUAAUGAGUUGUUGGCAUCUGUGUCAUUUGGAUGGUGUGUGUGGCACCUCCUGGUGGUCAAACCUGACUUUCCGACAUGUUUUUGGAGGUGCCACCAUGUCCUUUUUUAUGGUGUGGCGCGUGAUGGCAUAUGGUUGUCGGAUUAUUGCUGACUGUCCUUUUUGUUUUUGAUAUUUUAAUUUUCAUCUUUAUUUUUUUAAUUUUUUAUUUCGUUUUUAUUUUUUAUAUAAAGAUUUAAUUUGUUUUUAAUUUAAAUAUUUAAUUAUAAUUUUUUAUAUGUUUUUUCAUUUUAGAUGUCUUUAUUCUUUUAAAUUUUAAUUUUUUUUUAUUAAAAUUCUAUUUGCUUUCAAUAAAGUUUGUCAAGGUAAGAGACACUCCGAAGCAACCUGUGGUUCAACGACAAAAAUAUUAAAUCACAUCGCUUUUAAAAUAUUUUAUAUUUCAGUCUUUUGCGGCAUUAGCAAUGAAGUUACUGAUUGAAACAUUGGUCCACCACCCUCAUGUCAAUGAUGAAGAAUUGUAGGGUUCUUGGUUAUUUCUUCUGGUCGAGAAGUCUGUGCCUUGUACAAAUCUAUCGCGGCAUGAAAGAUGUACGUAUUAUAGCGUAGAAAUUAAUGGCAAAGAGAAGAGAUGAAAGAAGAAGGACCUUCAAAAUAAUAUUAUUACAUUUGGUGUUAUAAAUAAUAUGAUUUUUAUAAUAAUUCAAAUUAAUGGCGAAGGGAAGAGAUGAAAGAAGAAGGAUGAAUGCAAACCUAUCCAUCAAAAUCCUUCUAUCCUCCCUGCAAUUCCUUCCAAAUUAUGUGCUACAAUGAUUUUCUUCGCGAUUGAAGUAAGUUAGACUGGAUUGCCUAAAUAUGAUGAAUAAAGAGUUGGAUUGGUAAAAUUAUUUACACACUUUAAUUUGUUGAUUUGAUACAUCUCAAUCUGUGAAUUAACAGAGAAGAAGAAGAAGAAGCUAGUACUAAACCAAUAAGUUUACACAUAAUCCAUGAACGUAUCUCACAGGUCACAACAUUUUCCUUCAUUAUUGUUCCCGCAAUCCAUCUCUCCACUGAGAUACAUCAUCCACUCCCCUCAUGCUUCCAGCCAUUGUCAUGAUUCCGAGAGGCAAACCAGAACACUUCUUCACAAUAGACACUGCAGUUUUUUUCAUUUCAGGACAAAGUGUAACACCAUGCCCUAAUCCGUCUAUGAACAAAUCCCAAGCCUCACCCUCAGAAAGAGGCUCCACUUUGAUUAUCCUUUGGCAAUCCAUUUUUCGACAUGUGUCCAAUGAUCUAGUUGUAAGAAUCAGCGUACACCCAUCUGUUUUAAGAGGUAUUCCCACUUUAUCAAGAGGAAAAUGAUUCCACAAAUUAUCAAUAAUUAAAACACAUUUUGUCACACUCAAUGUAGUCCAUAGCUCCCCGGCUCUAUUCACCACAUCUUUUUUAUUCCCAAGAUGUAAACCAAAAGCUUCGGCAAUGAGAUCCUGCAAUGCGUGAACGCUAAAUUCUGGAGGCACAGAAAUCCAACAAACACGAGGGAAAAUGUCUGGUUUCUCUUGAAGCUGAUUGUGGAUAUGUGUAGCCAAAGUUGUCUUUCCAUGUCACUUGGUCCAACUUUUGAUCCAACUUGGCUUCCAUGUCACUUGGUCCAACCUUUGAUCUUCUCAGUUCUAGCAAUGCAUCUCUCCAACGAUAUUCAGCAACCACUCCCUUCAUGCUUUGAGCCAUUGUCAUGAUUCCAAGAGGCAAACCAGCACACUUCUUCACAAUAGACUUUGCGAUCUUUUUCGUUUUAGGAUGAAGUGUAACACCAUGCCCUGAUCUGUCUAUGAACAGACCCCAAGCCUCACCCUUAGAAAGAGGCUCCACUUUGAUUAUCCUUUGGCAAUCCAUUUUUCGACAUGUGUCCAAUGAUCUAGUUGUAAGAAUCAGCUUACACCCAUCUGUUUUAAGAGGUAUUCCCACUUUAUCAAGAGGAAAAUGAUUCCACAAAUUAUCAAUAAUUAAAACACAUUUUGUCACACUCAAUGUAGUCCAUAGCUCCCCGGCUCUAUUCACCACAUCUUUUUUAUUCCCAAGAUGUAAACCAAAAGCUUCGGCAAUGAGAUCCUGCAAUGCGUGAACGCUAAAUUCUUGAGGCACAGAAAUCCAACAAACACGAGGGAAAAUGUCUGGUUUCUCUUGAAGCUGAUUGUGGAUAUGCGUAGCCAAAGUUGUCUUUCCAAUUCCCCCCACCCCGUAAAUGCCAAUGCAUAAAACCUCAUCAUUCAACAACAAAGAGCAGGCACCCUUCAUAUUUCUUUCAAACGCUUGGCCCGCCACUGGCUUCGUUGUCGGCAAUACAUAUCUUCCUGUCCUACGUUUCUUAUGCACAGGACUUUUAGAAGAGGGUUGUAUCUCAACAUCAGACUGCCUCAAUUCCGGACUCGUGGUCAGUCUACCAAUUCUUAACCCAAAAUCCCUCAUUGAUGAUGAUGAGAUGUUAUUCAAGUUCAUUUCAAAUGACUGAUGUGCUUGCUCUGUUCUUUGUCUAGUCUCGGGUUCAUCUGGCAUAAGAACGACAGGAGCUCUAGGUUCCUCGACAAGCUCAGUCUCCCCCCCAUUCAGAAAACUCUUCCAUCCUUGUUCAUCCGAAAGAGGUUGUUCUUCUUGUUCCAUUUCAAAGCCCCGCAAAGCAGUUGAAGCUGCAUUAAUUCCCUCGUUAUUGCUUGAACUUGGCACACUCUUAUCUACAGGCAUUUUAGAACAGCUUCCUCUCUCGGUAACAGCCUGCAUCAAUUCCCGACUCCCUAUACCACUGCUUAACUCAACAUCCCUCGUCAAUGAAGAUGCGAUGUUAUUCAUAUCCGUUUCCAAUGGUUGAUCUGCUGGCUCUAUUCCCAAUCCGGUCGCAGGUGCAUCGGGCAUAUGCAUGCUAGGAAUCAUGGUCUCCUCAGUAAGCACAAUCUCUUCCCAAGUCAAGCUACCUAUCCAUGAAAAAUCAUCCAAAAGAGGUUGUCCCUGUUGUUGCAUUUCUAAAUCUUGCGCGGGAUCUGAAUCUGCAGUAACUAUUAUAUUAUUGCUUGAACUUGGCAUACUCCCACGCAUUCUUUCAGGAAGCUUAUCAAACGCUGCUCGUUGAACAUCUGGAGUUACUUUUUCACAAAUUUUAACACCAACCUUUUCAACUCUUGCCAGAUGACAUUUCAUCCUUGUAGCGGAAGUACCUCCAGCCAAUUUCUUCUCACAAAAAAUGCACUUCAAUAAAUCACCAUCCAUUUUCUCAAAAUAACACCGAAAUGGAUCACUUCCUCCAACCAUUUUUUUUCUUCGGUGUCCCUACCUACAGACAUAACAAAGAACUUUCAGAUUAUUGAAUUAAAAUGGAACUUAAACUAAUUGAAAAAAAGAAGAAGCUAAGUUUAACAUAAAAAAAAAUUGAUUACAAGUGCUUCACUGCCUAAAGUUAAACCACUCCAAAGAUCAAAGUGUUCUUUUCUCUUUACUUCCCCAAUAAUUCUACAACUGGUCAUAUCAGUAAUUUAAUAACCAGGAUGUUUCCUUUUGCUUAGAAGAAUCAAACUACAUGAGUUGGAAAAGAAAUGGUAUGAAAUUAGAGCUAAAAUUAAUCAAACUUCAUUACCUGAGCAGCAGAAGCAGCAAAAUGUUAUCCAACGCUUUGAUUAAAUCAGAAGAAAGAAGAUGGACGGGAUAGUGUAAGUGUGUUGGAGACGAGUGAUAGAGCUUAACGGCUUGCGUGGUUGUGGAUAAGGAUAGAUUCAGACAGUCAGAGAAGCAGAUGACAGUGAAAAAAGUUAAAUGGACUUUUUUAAUAAAUAACAAGAUAUUUUUUAAAUUUAAUCAAUUUUUUUAUUUAUUAAUAUCAAAAAUUAAAAAUUAAAACUAAAAACCUAAUAAUUUAAUAUAUUUCAAACAAAAAUUAUUUUAAAAAAUAUCAUAUAUUUGAUUUCCACGCACUUUUGUCAUGUUAGGUUUUAUUUCAAUCAUACCUCAACAAUAUUUAUUUACAAACCAUAUAAUUAAUUUAGUUAUUUUAAUAUAUUUUAUUAUUUUAAUAUAUUAAUAUCAAAAAUAAAAAUUUAAAAAUAAAAAUUUUAAAAAUUAACUAUUACCUCUGUGUGAAACACCAUUAAUUUUCUCUUCUUUCCGCUGCAUCAUUGGCUUCUACGCCUGCAAAUCUAGGUACCUUUUUUAUAUAUAAAAAAAAUUCGUUACUUUUUGCUAAAAACAACCAAGUUAGUGACAGUUUAUGCAUGCGUUGACAUGUCUUGCAGAGGAAACAGAAGCACCCUACUUUGCAUUCAGCUGGUUAAACGACAACAACACGUUCCAAACAGAAGAUGCUUCAACUAAACUGACCUAAGAGAGCUUAGGCAAACAUCUCGAUAGACUUUUUUUUUUUUUUUUCAGCACCUCGAUUUUGCUUACUGUAGCUCCUGUUGUUGCCCCUUUUUUUUUAUUUUAAUAUAGCUGGUUUUUUCAAACUUGGAUGCAAUUUUUAAUUUUUGCUUUUCCCAGGAUCGAAUUAGGUUGCUCGCUAUCUUGCACGCCCUUUCUUUUCCUAUGCUUGUUUUCCUGCAGAUUGGUUGUUUUGCAGCAACGGUAUUUCACCUCCAUUUUGUUAGUCUCAACAAAAAAUAUAUUAAAAUAAUAUUUUUUAUAUAAUUUUUAAAAAUUAUUUUUAAUAUUAAUAUAUUAAAAAAAUAUUUAUUAUUAUUAAUUGUGAUGUCUUAUCAUAUCAUUGGAGAGAUGUGUGUUUCCUUUUAGGUGACAUGUGGGAAAAAAAUAACCAUGGCGAGAAAUGAGGUGCCUUGCUCUACAUAUAGAGAACGAAUUUGGCGUGCGUUAGUGGGUGGUUUGUGUCAUUGUUAAGACUUCAUAUGUUUAGAGGAUGGUAUUGUUGAGCGGAAUCCGGGACCGGUGAUGUACUGAUCUUUGCUCAUAGGAGGGCUAAGCAUACUGAGACAAUAUUUAACGUGGUUCGGCAAAUUACCUACAUCCACGGGAGAGAUCAAUAUUAUUAGAGAUAGAGAAAGAAUACAACACACGGAGGAGGAUCACAUUCACUCAACUCCCAUCUCUCAUUGCUACAUAGGGCAGUAGCUGCAUAAGGCAGCAGGUCUGCUGGUGGCAGCCCUUCUCUUUCUUUCUCUCUUCUUCUCUCUUUUGUAGCUCUCCUACAAGGCUCUCUCUCUCAUUUUGUGUUGCACUCUUGGUGUCUAUUUAUAGGCUUCAAUGACAGCUCCUCUUACUUCUUUGUCAACAAUGGUGGCUGUCAAACUCAUCUCUUCUUCAACAAUGAUGGUUGUCAAAGUCAAGGUUGGUGGCUGUCACCAACAAGCCACCAUUGUAGCCUCUUUCUUUGACUCUCACAUGGCAGCCAUCUUCUUUGACAAGACAACCAUAUAAUUGGCAAUAUUCCAACAAGUAUGGGGUCGAGACCCAAAAAUAUUCCAAAUGGUGGAAAACACAUUUGGGCUUUGUCUACAGUCAUUCAAGGUAACAGGGUGGAAAACCCAUUUGGGCUUUGUCUGCAGUCAUUCAAGGUAGCAGGGGAAUCUCUAUGUGCUUCAUGGCGGGAUUUUUUAGUUCAGAAGCUUUUUGUUAACUCAGAGUUGUCAUCUUCAAUAUAGAAGCUUUUAAAUUGCUCAGACACUUCAAAUGAAGAUGGAAGUGCGGAGGAAACUUCAUGGAUAGAUUGCAGGUAUGGAGACAUUUACAGCUGAGAAUUGAAGCUCGAGGGGAACUACUUGCAGUUAGUGUUGAAGAAAGCGCAAGAAACACUGCCUACACACUUCAAAAGACAGUAGGCUUAAAGGAUGCUAGAUGUUAUCUAAUUGAUUUUUACUAGAGAUUUUCAGGAUUGAUUCGCUUAAUGGAAGAACUUGCUUGCACUGUCCUGCUUAUUAUGGCCAUUUUGAUUACCUUCAAGCUACUCUUUCUGCUGCCAUCAAUCCAACCUGUUACUGUUUCUUGGUAACUAUAUCUUCAUUCUAAAGAUUGAUUUCGUUUCUUGGUAACUAUAUCUUAAUUGUAAAGAUUGAUUUCGCUUUCUCUUCUCUUCUGUUUUUUAUCAGAGUUAUCUUUGCAUAGACAAUGAACUUCGGGUGAGCCCCACAGGUUACAGCCAAGUAAACAACGAGAAUGCAUGCUCCCGCCAGCCUGCAAAAUCUAGCACAAAGCAAUCGUUUGGGUCAUAGUCUAAGGCCUUAGCCCACAGCCAAUCUCGAAAUGGAAUGAUUCUUUUAUUUAUUUUUGGUUUCUUGCAUUUAGGACUCUCAUUUCUUCGUAUGUUUACUUUGUUUAAUUUUUUAAUCAAAGCUAAAGCUCGGUUGACUUGAUCAAGAUGAUCGGAUUCACAGUCUAAAAGCCCUCAUCAACAUAAAUUAUCAUUUUAAAAAUUUUUUUUAAUAUUUUUUUUAUCAGAUUUUUUAUAUAUGUAGCCUUGCAUUGUUUUUUUUUUUUUAAUUAUUAUUCAAUAAAUUUUAUGUGUGUUAGUUUCUAUUAUAAAUAUUAUGUUUUUUUCUAUUACAAAUUUAUUUUGAUAAAGAGGUUCAUUAAACAUAAUUAGAUAAAUUAUCCGUGUUGCGAUAUUAGAUAUCCUGAUUUUUAUUUUUUGUUUGGUUUUUUUAAUUUUUUUUUUAUUACUGAUGAAUCUUUUUUUUCAUUGCUUUACACAAAUGAUUAUUGAUUUGUUUAAUUAGAUGCGUGCAUAAGUUUUUCAAUUGACAUCUAAGAGUUUUUUUUAGUGUAAAAAAACAUGUUGAAUAAUUUUGUAAAUUCAUUUUUUUUUUAUUAUGUUUUGAUGUUUAAGAUUUGAUGCUUAUUUUUAUGAUUUUUAUUUUUAUUUUUUCCCUUGAAUCUCUUAUGAAAGUUUCAUUGUUUUUAGUUUCACCCUUCAAUUCAAGUUUAUAGUGUAUUGUUUUUUUUUUUUUUUUAUCUUUGUUCUUUUGAUUUUUUUAAUUUUGUUAAUGUUUUUAUUCUUUUCAUUUUAACUCUCAAAUUUAAAAUUUAUUGUUGCCGUUUGAUUUAUUUUUUAUUGCAAUUUUAACACUCAUUAUUUUUAUUGCAUUUUCUUGUUUUUGGAUUUUUUGUGUUGUUUUUAUGUGAUUUUAACCCUCAUGCUUUUUUCAUGUAUAAUAAUUUUCGAUCUUAUAACCUCGGUCACGAUUUAAAAAGUUAACAGUAAUUGAUUUUUUUAUCUUAUUUUUUUGUAUUUUUCUUUCUACUCAAUUAUCUUAUUCUCUUUUUUUUUUUUUUUCUUUGUUAACAAAUAAGAUCAUUGUGAUGUUUUGAGAAUAUUAUGAAGAUAAUAUUGGCAAACAUUCAUCUUUUGUAUUGAAUGAUUGUUUUUUUUUCGUUUUAUUUUUUAUCGAUAUUUUAUUUUUUAAUGAUAUUAUUAAAUUAACCAAGUCAAUUGAACUCAUUAGAGCCAAUUACCUGUAUAUUAUAUUGUUUUAAAAUAUUUUUAUGCUAAAAAAAAAUCUUAGCAUAUCAUAGCCACCUAUCUAGUAUUAUCUACAAACAUAUCAUCUUAUCCCAUCCCAUGUCAAAUACUCAUUAAAAGCUUGACACGUGUAAGAUACACUGUGAAGCAACCUGUGGUACAACGACAAAGAUAUUUUAUACUGAUUGAAAGGUUAAGGUUAAGUAGCCGGUCAAUAUUUUAUAUUUCAGUCUUUUGUGGCAUUAAUAAUGAUAGAAACAUUGGUCCACAGUACUCUUAGUUUCUUUCAUGGCAAAGACUUUUCCCUCGGGUCGAUGAUGAAGAAUAUUUGUAGGGUUAUUCCUUCUUGUCGAGAAGCUUGUGCCUUGUAGCAAUCUAUCACGGUGUGCUUGUCAAGAAAGAUGUCCAUAUUAUAAGGUAGAAGUGGUAAAUAAAAGAGAUGACAGAAGGAGGAUGAAAGCACAUGAAUAUCUGCCUAGGAAUUCUAUUUACAAUGCUCGAUCAUCAUAGGAGUAUAAACAUAUACCUUUGCAAGCCAUAUAGCUUGAAAAUGCAGAGCCAGAAUAAACGUUAAUUAAUUAGGAUGAAAAUUGUUUUUGAAAGGAAUUUAAUGAGAUUAAUUUAUUAAGAAUGUUUUAAAGAAGACCUAGUGUCUAUACAAGUUUAAAUCUAUAAGCAUGCGUACUAAGCAUAUAUUUAGACUUGCAAUUGACAUAAAAUCAAAGUCUUAGAAUGUAUAUUACUAAUAAAAUUAAAUAUACUUAAAUCAAAACAAAAAAGGAUACAAGUUUACUUGUGGAAGAACUUUAAGAUAAUGAGUUUUUUUGUUAUUGUCAAGAAUAAAUCCAUUGCCCUUAAGGCUUUACUGUUUUUCACUUGUGCAAUUAGGAUGUUUAUAAUAUGUCUUUUAAGAUUCUAACAGCACCAUCAUAAUUUAAAUGCACUUCUAAAUAAGGUAUUCGAAUAGAAAAAAAUAUAGAAUUGUUAACUAAUGUUUUUUUUUUUUUUUUGCUUUUCCUUUCUUCGUAUAUAGUAAAAAUACAUGUUUGACCUUAGAAAAUACAAAAACAUAAGGCAUGCAUCUAGGGAUAUUUGUUUUCCUUUCAUACAUAUCUUUUUUCCUUUGACACAUAUCUUUUUUGUAAUUAUCAAGGUCAUGGGGACAUUUAGGUAUUUUUACGUUGAAUUUUAAUUUUUUUUUUAACAGAAAGUUGCUGACAUGUGCUCAUUACGGGCUAAUGAGUUGUUGGCGUCUGUGUCAUUUGGAUGGUGUGUGUGGCACCUCCCGGUGGUCAAACCUGACUUUCUAACAUUUUUUUGGAGGUGCCACCAUGUCCUUCUUUAUGGUGUGGCGCGUGACGGCAUAUGGUUGUCGGAUUAUCGCUGAUUGUUCUCUUUGUUUUUGAUAUUUCAAUUUUCGUCUUUAUUUUUUUGAUUUUUUAUUUCGUUUUUAUUUCUUAUAUAAAGAUUUAAUUUGUUUUUAAUUUAAAUAUUUAAUUAUAAUUUUUUAUAUGUUUUUUCAUUUUAGAUGUCCUUAUUCUUUUAAAUUUUAAUUUUUUUUUAUUAAAAUUCUAUUUGCUUUCAAUAAAGUUUGUCAAGGUAAGAGACACUCCGAAGCAACCUGUGGUUCAACGACAAAAAUAUUAAAUCACAUUGCUUUUAAAAUAUUUUAUAUUUCAGUCGUUUGCGGCAUUAACAAUGAAGUUACUGAUUGAAACAUUGGUCCACCACCCUCAUGUCAAUGAUGAAGAAUUGUAGGGUUCUUGGUUAUUUCUUCUGGUCGAGAAGUCUGUGCCUUGUACAAAUCUAUCGCGGCAUGAAAGAUGUACGUAUUAUAGCGUAGAAAUUAAUGGCAAAGAGAAGAGAUGAAAGAAGAAGGACCUUCAAAAUAAUAUUAUUACAUUUGGUGUUAUAAAUAAUAUGAUUUUUAUAAUAAUUCAAAUUAAUGGCGAAGGGAAGAGAUGAAAGAAGAAGGAUGAAUGCAAACCUAUCCAUCAAAAUCCUUCUAUCCUCCCUGCAAUUCCUUCCAAAUUAUGUGCUACAAUGAUUUUCUUCGCGAUUGAAGUAAGUUAGACUGGAUUGCCUAAAUAUGAUGAAUAAAGGGUUGGAUUUGCAAAAUUAUUUACACAGUUUAAUUUGUUGAUUUGAUACAUCUCAAUCUGUGAAUUAACAGAAAAGAAGAAGAAGAAGAAGCUAGUACUAAACCAAUAAGUUCACACAUAAUCCAUGAACAUAUCUCAUAGGUCACAACAUUUUCCUUCAUUACUGCUCACUAAUAUGCUACUACUGAAAACAGUAACUUAACAAUGGUCUAUAGGGUCUUUUCUAGGUGUUUUAGGGUGAUUUGUAGGGGUUUUUGGUGGCCAUGAAUUAACUUAACAAGGUCUCUAGGGUCUUUUCUAGAUGUUUUGGGUAAAAAAUAGAUUGAAAAUUAGUUUUUAGAUAAAAAAACAAAAGACCGUACUUUUUCAAUCACCACAAUGGCUGAAUUCUGGGUUGCGUAGAGGAUGCGUUAUUUUUCCAGCCCCUUACGUACAAUUUUUUUAAAAAAUAAAGUCUCGCGCACUAACCAUUGCUUUAUUGGGUAAGACGUUGGCCUUCGCUUGCUAGGCCUAACAACACCUGGCCUGAUUUUUUUUUUUAAUUUUUUUAAUUUUUAAUUUUCCUUUUUAAAUAAAUCAUUAUUUGUGUGUAUUUUAUAAAAUAAAUUUUGGGUUUAUAUUUUAAUUAUAUUGUGAUUAUUUUUAAAUGAUAUUUGAUGUGUUUAAUUUUUAAAGGGAUAGAUAUAAUUCAUGUUAUUAUUUAAAUUAACCAAAGUGAAUUGAACUCAAUAGAGCCAAUUCCCUAUAUAUUAUAUAUUUUAAGUAUUUAUUUUUUUUUCAAUAUUUUUAUGCUAAAACAAAUAAACCUUAGCGUUUAGCGUUAUAGCAUAUCGCAGCUAGUAUUACCUGUACACAUAUCAUCUUAUCCCAUCCCAUGUCAUAUACUCAUUAAAAUAAUUUGUUGUCAAUUAUUUUAUAUUUCAGUGUUUUGUUGCUGAUUGAAACAUCGGUCCACACUCUUAGUUUCUUUCAUGGCAAAGACUUUUCCCCCAUGCGCCCUCAGGUCAACGAUUAAGAAUAUUUGUAGGGUUAUUUCUUCUUGUCGAGAAGCUUGUGCCUUGUAGCAAUCUAUCACGGGGUGCUUGUCAAGAAAGAUGUCCAUAUUAAAGGGUAGAAGUGGUAAAUAAAAGAGAUGACAGAAGGAGGAUGGACGCACAUGAUAUCUCUAGGAAUUCUAUUUACAAUGCUUGAUAGUCAACUUCUUUUCACGGUUAAAAAGAUUAAAGAAUUCUUAUUAUUAAUAAUUUUUUACUCUUUAAAUAAAAAAAUAAAAAAUUAUUUUAGAUUAAUUUCUUAUUUAUUCAUAAUUUGUUUAAAUUAUAUUAAAGAAAACAAAUUUGAACAAAACACCUUUUCAUUUAUGCAAGAUACAUAAAAAAAACUCAUCUAUAAAAAAUGACUGCCGAGUUUAUGUGUACUGUCAAGUUCAAGUAUAUUAAAUAAAUAAAUAAACAAAUAAAAUAACUUCUCAGUUACAUUGAUUUUCUUCGUAAUUGAAGGAGGUUAGGCUGGAUUGCCUGAAUAUGAUGAAUAAUGGGUUGGAUUUGGAAAAUUAUCUAUAAAAAAUGACUGCCAAGCUUAAUUUGUUGAUCUGAUACAUCUCAAUCUGUGAAUUGACACUGCUUUAGUAAUUACGAACUUAGAAGGUAAAUUGACAGAAAAGAAGAAGAAGAAGAAGCUGAAUCCAUGAACCUAACUCACAACAAUUUCCUUCAUUAUUGCUCACUAAUAUGUUAUUACUGAAAAGAGUAAAUUUCUGAUCACUCUAUUUCUGAGAUGGCUGCCAACUCUUGGUGAAGACGUCUCGCUGGCAUGCGGCCUGCGCUGGUUCUCUUAGGGGCAGAGGAGCUAAAAGGAUCAGGAGGCUUUGUUAAGUUUUCUCCUUCCCCUUCAAGCAUCUGGACAACAGUUUUCAUGGAAGGACGCUCUGCUGGGUUCCACUGAAUGCACCAUAGCCCCACAAUUGCUAGUUUCUUCGCAAUUUUAGCAUCUUCUUCUCCAUCGAUAUGAAACCGCAGGUCUUCUUCCUUUUCUAAGAGAUUAUAAAUCCAUUCCGGGAAGUAUAUCUGGUCGCCAUUUUCUGCUGUAUCAUCGACGUUCUUCCUUCCUCCAACCAUUUCCAACACUAACAUCCCAAAGCUGUAAACAUCUGAUUUAUAGGAAACAUUCCCGAAGUUCCUUGAGAACACUUCCGGGGCAAUGUAGCCAACAGUCCCCCUAGCAGUCGUCAUGGAAAUAGCACUUUUAUCCUUGGAACACAGCUUUGCCAUUCCAAAAUCGGCGAUUUUGGGAUUGAAUUCGUUGUCAAGCAGGAUAUUCUGUGGUUUGAUAUCAAAAUGGAGGAUUCUUUGAUCACACCCCUGGUGAAGAUAUUCAAUCCCCUUGGCUAUGCCUAGAGCAACACGAUUCAACCUUUCCCAGCCAAGGAAAUGGUUCCUUGAGUCUGCUGAGGUUAUGAACUUCUGUAAUGAACCAUUUGGCAAGUACUCAUAAACCAGAGCUCGUCUAAAUCCAUCAGCACAGAAACCGAUCAAGCGAACAACAUUGACAUGGUGGAUCCUUGCCAUUGUUCCCACUUCAUUGAUGAAUUCCUCCCCUUUACCUAUGGAAUUAUUGAGGAGCUUCACAGCUACAGCAAUUUCAUUGGUUAGCUUUCCUUUGAACACGGUUCCAUAAGCUCCUUGGCCCAAUUCAUCACCGAAUUGAUUUGUGAUCCUCUUGAGAUCAGCGUAGGAGUACCUAGUGGGAUUCAGUGAUCUGUAAUCAUCCAAAAACAUUUCAACCCUGGCUUGAUAUUCUCUUUGUAUUUUAUCGUUGCUAUAGGCGCGGUAGAGUGCAAUAAUCACUAUUGCAAAAAGGAAGAAUCCUAAAAUCACACCUGCAUAUCAACAUUCUGAGUCAGGAAACUCUUUUUUUUUUUUUUGGGAAGUGAUGUAUUGAACCAAGUGUAAAAUUGAGAUGGAGAUUUGAGCAGACUACUAACCAGCAAUCCGUAGCUUUCGCCGCACAUCAACAUUCUGAUGGAGAUCUGUAAGGGAUUGAAUACUUAUUAGUUAGGCAAUUGGUAAAAUCAUGAAAGCAACAAAAACGAAAAGAGUUUCUAGUGUUUUGUUAUUUACAUAUUCAAAUGCCAAUUAUUAAUUUGAAAAAAGGAAGAAAGAUAGAAAAGCAUACCUUUAGUGUGCGGAAGAAUGCUGUAGCAUUCAGUUUCAGAAGAUCCACAAGUUGGAUUAGACCAAGACAUAGUAAGAACAUAAUUUUCUGCAUGCAACAUCCUAUGUGGAAUUCCAUAAAUGUUGUGCAUCUUGGUACAAGAUAAGAAACCAGAGUAACUGGUGGGAAUACUUGAGUCAACGGCAUAAACUUCAUGGUUAAAAAUACUCAGACAUGGGAUUUUACGUGUGAACGGAGACCGCCCCUCUCUAGAAGGUGAACAAUUGAACAAGGUCCAAUCACCCUCUUCAUUGGUUAGCUUUCCUUUGAACACGGUUCCAUAAGCUCCUUGGCCCAAUUCAUCACCGAAUUGAUUUGUGAUCCUCUUGAGAUCAGCGUAGGAGUACCUAGUGGGAUUCAGUGAUCUGUAAUCAUCCAAAAACAUUUCAACCCUGGCUUGAUAUUCUCUGUGUGUUUUAUCGUUGCUAUACGCGCGGUAGAGUGCAGUAAUCACUAUUGCAAAAAGGAAGAAUCCUAAAAUCACACCUGAAUAUAAACAUUCUGAGUCAGGAAACUCUUUUUUUUUUUGGGGAAGUAAUGUAUGGAACCAAGUGUAAAAUUGAGAGGAGAUUUGAGCAGACUACAAACCAGCAAUCAGUAGCUUUCGCCGCACAUCUGUAAAGGAUUGAAUGCUUAUUAGCUUCUCCCUUUUAGGCAAUUAGUAAAAUCAUGAAAGCAACAAAAACGGAAAGAGUUUCUUUAUUAAUUUGAAAAACCCUUAUUGUUUUUUUAUUUACGUAUUCAAAUGCCAAUUAUUAAUUUGAAAAAAGGAAGAAAGAUAGAAAAGCAUACCUUUAGUGUGCGGAAGAAUGCUGUAGCAUUCAGCUUCAGAAGAUCCACAAGUUGGAUUGGACCAAGACAUAGUAAGAACAGAAUUUUCUGCAAGCAACACACUAUGUGGAAUUUCAUAAAUGUUGUACAUCUUGGUACAAGAUAACAAAUCAGAGUAACUGAUGGGAAUACUUAAGUCAACGGCAUAAACUUCAUGCUUAAAAGUACUCAGACAUGGGAUUUUAUCCAUGUACGAAGGAGACCUUUUCUUACUAGAAAGUGAACAAUUGAACAAGGUCCAAUCAUACAGCCAAUCGUUCAUAAUUUCGAAGUGAGAAGCCCCUAAACUGAACUUUAAACUUUGCCUUGGAAAGCAACCUUGAGGAUCCCUUGCAUAAAUGAGUUGAUGUCCAUAGUCAAUUCCUUCGAUGUGGAGACUCAAUCCAGUUGGCAGAUUAAGCACUGUGCUGUUGUCCUCUGAGCAGGAUAGAUCAAACCCAGGAUAGCCACAGUGGUCUGGUUGUUUGUCCUUGAUUCGGAAAGGAAAUCGGAUGUCAGGGCCAGGGUUUCCACAUGAUCCUGUGCAGUUCAAGCUUGCUCCAUGGCCUGCAAGGAAGACAAUGAAAAAGAAGAACAAAAACGUAACCAUUUCUGAUGAAUAAUUCAUCAUCUCGACACUCCUCCACGAUUUUAUCUGCAUGUGCUGAUAUAGUUUAGGCCUUUCAGAAAACUCAUGUAGUCCUUAGAUGGGCGAGUACUGUAGUACACGCGUCCUUGCAUGAGAAUUUAUUUACUCCAUCGAUCUAGUGUGAUGCUCCUCCCUUUGACAUUCCUCCAAUCACAAACAUGUGGGAUCCAAUUAUUCCGUUUUAUUUAGGGGUGAGCAUUAUUUCAAACGGUUUGGUUUGGAUAAAAAAAUGUAUAUAACCGAAGUUUUUUUAAAAAAAAUAUUUAGUUCAAACGGUUUGGUUUGGAUAAAAAAAUAUAUAACAGAACCAAUUUUUGUUAAUUGUUUUUUGAAUUGAAUCAAAUAAAAGAACCAAAUUAAUUGGUAUUUUUUUUUUUUUUGAGUUAAUGGACCUUUAGUUGUGCAAUUUUGACAAGUUCUAGGGGCACUUGUUUAUAAGUUUGUCAUAACUAAAUAAGAAUCUACUCCAAACAAAUUAAAUAGAUGAUUGUUUUUUUUUGUAAAAUAUUUAGUUCAAACGGUUUGGUUUUUUGAAUUGAAUCAAAUAAAAGAACUAAAUUAAUUGGUAAAUGUUUUUUUUUUUUAGUUAAUGGACCUUUGGUUGAGCAAUUUUUACAAGUUUUAGGGGCACUUGUUUACACCGCCUCAUCAUAUUUUAUAAAAAAAAUAUUUUUUUAAAAUUAAGUUUUUGUGUUUCUUGAUUGUUUUAAUUUGUUAAUAUUACAAAUAAAUUUAAAAAAAUAAAAAAAUUAUUUUGAUACAUUUCUAAGUAAAAAACACUUUGAAAAACAAUCACUACCACAAUACUAAACACUACCUAAUUUAAUGAGUUUUGAGCUUAUAACAUACCUUUAGUUUCUAAUAAUUUUUUUUUUAUUUGGUUUGGAUUGAUUUUUAAAAAAGCUUUAAAAUUGAAUUACUCAACUGAAACGUUUUUAAUUUUUCUAACAAAAAAAAUUAAAAAUUCAAAAAACUCGUCCAAAAACACUUUAAUUCCGUUCAUUCUCACUCGUCAUUGAAAGGAGGGUGGUUGAAAGUCUUGCUAUGUGAAACUUCGAGUGACGGACCAAUGUUUCCAACAAUGACUCAAGUGUCUAUGAAGGAAACGAAAAUAAUGGGGCUUUGACAAGUUCUUUAACCUCUCAAGCAGUUUGUCUACUUGGCCAACUCGCUAUCAGUUGAGAAGGGAGGAAAGAAAAGUGAAGGGCUCUUUCCUGUUGUCUUGCUCGAGAUACCAACGAAAUGGUCCAUAUAUAUUUUUGUCAUUAGACUAGAGGAGGUUACACGAGAUUGUAGCUCUCCUACGCGAAACUUCGCAUGAGGACCCAUUCAUUUAUUUUAUGUUAUUGGGACAAUUGUAUAUUUAUAAGACGCGACACUAGAGUUGACUUGGCUAAAAGUAUGUGUUAAUACAAUUUUAAAAUAAAAUGUAUUAUUUUUUUAUAUUUUUUAGAUCUGAUUUAUAUUAUUUUAAUUAUUAUUUAUUUUAUCUGAAAUAAUUUAUGAAAUUAUAUUUUUUUUCAAUUUCAUUCUCAUUUAAAUUUUUAAUAAACCUGAGAAAAAUAAAAUAUUAAUAAGUUAAUUUUCAAUUCAUUUUCCAUGACAUAACCAAAACUGGAAAGUGUUUUCUAACUUAUUUUCUAUUACACUAUCAAACAUCAAAAAAUAAUUCACUUUCCAGAAAAAAAACUACUUUCCAGCAAACAAACGAAGCCUAAAUGAAUACAAUAUUAAGAUUAAGAGUCAUAUUGUCUUAAAACAUCUAAUGUAUUCUACAUUUUAUAUUAUAAACUUAUCUUAUAAUUUUGAAAAUGAUUUAGCCAUAAUAACAUCUAUACAUAUAUAUAAUACCUCCAUUACAUACUACACAUCUUCUAUUUGAUUUUUACACCACAAAGGUUUUCAAAGAAAAUAAAGACAUAUAAAUGUUACAUUUUAAAAUGAUAAUUCAUAAACAAAAAAAUCCUACAUCUAACAAUCUGCAUCACCUCGUGGUGUACGUAUUUCAACAAUAACCACAUUAAUUAAUUUACUCAAUAUCUUAGUCAUAUAUUAAUUAUUUUAAUCUUAACCUUUAAAAUUUAAUAUUUCUAACUUCAAUCAAUUAGUCUACAUAAUCUUUUCAAAACUUAAAUAUCCAGCUAACUCAUCUCGAUUACCAAUAAUUCUAACACUUUCAUAUAAUUACCCAUAAAUUUGGUUAUUCUUCCUCGGUUACCAAUAAAUCCGAUAAUUCCAUCUAAAUUACCCAUCAUCUAGCAAACCAGUUUUGUUAGCCAAUCAAUCUGGUAAUUCCAUAUGAAUUACCCCAUAUUCGGUUAACCUCUUUGUUAACCAAUAAACCGGGUAAUUCUCUUACUUAUCCAAGAAAUUCGGGUAACUUAUUUUGGUUGCCAAAAUCAAUCUGAUAAUUCCAUAUGAAUUACCCAGCAUCCGACUAACUUUUUUGUUAGCCAAUCAAUAAUUCCGGUACUUUCACAUAAAUUACAAAUAAUCACUCAAUUUAUUCAUUUGCUUCAUUCUUUUAACACCAAUUAAAUAAACAAUAUGUGGUUGUAUGUGAAAUGAUGAUGUUAUGUUUGAGAAUGACUUUUUAUCAGAACGAAUAAAAAAAAAAUUACAUGCUUUGCAUUUCGGCACGUAAGAAAAAUAUUAAUGAACUAAUGAUAUAAUGACAUUUGAUUGAUUUAAGAGUUGUGUCUGGAGCUGCUUAUCAGACAAAAGGAGCUGGGUCAUCACGAGCAGAAGGUAGGCGAUUCGUCACCUUAUUUUGUAAUUAUUAGUUUUCCUUAAAUAUUUAUGUUGUUUAUUUAAUUAAUGUUAAAAGAAUGAAGCAAAUGAAUAAAUUGAGUGAUUAUUACUAAUGAGAAUUAUUGGAAAUUUAUAUGAAAUUACCGGAAUUAUGUGAAAGACCGCUUCAACUUUUUUAACCUGGUUGCUCUGUUUCAACUAAUCGACCUGUUCAACUAAUUUCUAGAACUCAGUUUACUUUCAACAUUUUCACUAUCUUUCCCUUACAACCGAAGGAAGCAUACCUUGGAAUAUCUCAUGGAUUUGGACUGGAUUGGGUGUUUUGUUUUUCGAAGAGAUGCUCCAAGAAAAAUAUCAGGCUCGCUGGAUGUCGUUAUUUGUGGUAUUGACAGUUGAUGACUUUUUUUUUUUUUUACUUUUCAAAGUUAAUGAUUCUGACAUUUCGAAGGAGGUGGGAAAUUAUCUUCGUCUGUGAAGUAGUGCUGAAUACUGGAUCAAUAACUCACUGUCUGCUUUGCUACUAUUCCUAUCCGAUGACUCUGACAUUUUCAUUGCAUUAUCAGUAGCUUCCACUCCGAAAUUCAAUAGUUUUUGUUGGAGAAAAAAGAAAAGGAAAAAAGAAGAAUAGUUUAUGCAAAAUUGCGUAUACACUGUGUAUCACUUCAGCCUUCCCCAUGUUUAGAGGAAUGAACGUCCUUUUUGCUUGCUACAUAGCUUUUCUUUUACAGCUAUUAGUCUUCCAAACUUGCCAUUCUAUCAGCAGUUUGUGCAAAAAUUGCGUAUACACUGCUCCUUGUGCUCCUUCUUCAUGCGGAAACACUGAUCCACAAAGCUGCGGAAACAAUAACUAUUCUCUGACUUGCGAGAACAAUAUUUCUACAGUAUUAUAUUUGUAUUCAGGUAAAUACUACGUGCAGGCAAUCAACUAUGGUAACUACACAAUCCGAGUGGUAGAUGCUGGUGUACAAGAUUAUUGCUGCUCCAUCCCUCGUUAUUCUUUGGCACCUGAUGACUUCAGUGACGGAGAUCCAUACACAUGGUAUAACUACAAGCAGGUGCCGCCGCCGGUAGUGAGUGAAGGUUUCGUGGAUUAUUGGGGGCACCGGUACUUACCUCCACUAUCACAGCCUAUGAUUUUCAUGAGCUGUGAAAAUACGGUGAAUUCUCCUUUUUAUGUGGACACGGCUCCCUACGGCCUUAACUAUGGAUCAGGAAAUUAUUCCAACUCUUCUCUUGUGACUCAUUCGAAUUAUGUGACUCUUCGGGGCAUGACUGCCUCGGAUUUGAUGGAACUGUGCACCAUAGAGAAAAUAUUUUUUCUUCCAAAGAAGAACUACACAGACAAUUACUCCUUUGAAGAAAUACACAGUGACCUGGCAUAUGGGUUUGAGCUUUCAUGGUACAACAUCAACUGUGAAAAUUGCACAAGGGGUUGCUACAUCAACAGCUCAGACCAUCGUCAAUGCAUUGACACAAUAUCUCAUGGUACAACAUCUACUGCAUGUAACACUUGAUGAUUAAGUUGCGUCAGAUUUGAUUCAUAAGACUAUAAAUAACUUGUGAUUUGAGGUGGUUUCAUAUAUUUUCUCUGGCUUACUUUUCAAUUUUCAUUUUUUUCUGCGCAUUAGCACAAUAUUGCACUGUCCCCAGAAGUUGUGCAUCCAUUACCUGUGGAUUCUACUAUAGUGGACUGAUCAUAAGAUUCAUUCAUGUUCAUAUUGUAAAAUAUUCUGACUAUAAUGUGGUUUAAGGUAGUUGGACAGAUUCAUUGGUCUUUUGCAAUUUCAGGAUUGACACAGUGAAACGUUUGGUUCAUCUUAACUUGAACAUGGAUACACAUUAAUUAGUUCAAGUCACAUUAUUAAAUUGUGUGCGCUCUUUUCUUUUUCUUUUGCAUUUACUAUUGCGUAUACCAUUAGAACUCGUUUCUUAACCUGAAGCUUCAACAGAUAAUUUUGACACAGUGAAACGUUUGGUUCAUCUUAACUUGACCAUGGAUACACAUUAAUUAGUUCAAGUCACUAUUAAUUAAUUGUUGUGUGCUCUUAUCUUUUCUUUCGCAUUAACUGUUGCGUAUACCAUUAGAACUCUUUUAAACCUAAAUUCUCGACAGAUUUGGUGAAAGCUUCUGGAAAACACACUCGACGCCAGUGAUAGGUGCGAAUUCUCUUUCUGCAUCUCACCUUGUUUGUGUAUUCUUAAGUGUUUCUUCAAACGACUUAUUUGUGAAAUAAGGAUUGUUGUUUCUUGAAUAGUAAUUGUAAUUUGUUCACCAUUUUCUGCAGCUCCCCUCCUCCAUAUAUCAUUUUAUUUGGUAAAGAUUCCAUCAUUUCUUUAGUUCGCAACAAAUUUCUAGUGGAGACAACAAAUAAGAUCACAAAACUUGAUUGUUUUCUGGAAAUUUCCUACACAGCACUGCUUCAUGGGCUAAAGUGUGUGGGACUCCAUGUGUGAUUAUAUUUUUGAUCUACAAAUGGCGAAGGAGACAUUUAUCAGCAUACGAUACAGUUGAACAAUUCCUACAGGUCAGAAUAACCUCAUGCCAGUAAGGUAUUCCUACUCAGAUAUCAAGAGUUACUAGAGGUUUCAAGGAGAAAUUAGGUGAAGGAGGCUUUGGUACAGUUUACAAAGGAAAGCUUCGCAAUGGCGUUUUGCAGCAGUAAAAUGUUGGAAAAUCAAAAGCUAAUGGACAGGAUUUCAUAAAUGAAGUUGCUACCAUAGGAAGGAUUCACCAUACUAACGUGGUGCAGCUAAUCGGUUUUUGCGCUGAAGGAUCAAAGCGAGCUCUUGUAUAUGAUUUCAUGCCUAAUGGAUCUCUUGAUAGAUACUUGUUUUCUCGAGAAGGAUCAAUCUCUUUAAGCUGGCAAAAACUGCAUCAGAUUUCCCUUGGAGUGGCUCGUGGUAUCGACUAUCUUCAUUUAGGUUGUGACAUGCAAAUACUUCAUUUUGAUAUCAAACCUCACAACAUUCUUCUCGACGAAAAUUUCACUCCAAAAGUUUCUGACUUCGGGCUCGCUAGGUUGUACCCCACUAAUGGCAGCAUAACAUCUCUUACUGCAGCAAGGGGCACCAUAGGAUACAUGGCUCUUGAACUGUUCUACAAAAACAUUGGACGUGUCUCCUAUAAAGCUGAUGUUUAUAGCUUUGGAAUGCUGCUAUUGGAAAUGGCAGGCAAAAGGAAGAAUGUAAACGCAUUGGCAGAAAAUUCAAGUCAAAUCUACUGGCCAUAUUGGGUUCAUGACCAAGUAUCUGAUGGAAAGGCCAUAGAAAUCGGAGAUGAUGCCACGGAUGAAGAACGUAAGAUCGUCAAGAAGAUGAUUAUGGUUGGAUUGUGGUGUAUACAAAUGAAACCCAUGGAGCGGCCUACAAUGAAGAAUGUUGUGGAGAUGCUUGAAGGAGAUUUGGAAAACUUGCAAUUGCCACCUAAGCCUGUCUUCAAUCUAGAUGUGACGCCACCAAACAUUGAAGGAGAGUCAUCAUCGUUGUCAGGGGAUUCUACCGAAUCAACCAGUUUGGUUGAAAAUGCAUACUAAGUGAUAUGAUGUGGAAUGCUCUGCUUACAUGCAGGGAAAGUGAUAGAAUAAUGGUGCUUUCGGACUUGGUUG